UUUUUUUUUGUGUGUGCGCGCUCGCGUGCGUGCAUGCAUGCGCAGUAGUCCCGGGUAAUUCGAAGGAUGCAUCCAAUCCGAAGCGUGAGUAACUCAAACUUAGCAAAUCGUUUGGUUUGGGAUGAUUAUAAAAUUCAAAUAUACGAAAAAAUAAGUUAUUGUUAUAAUACAUUUGAUGAUAAAAUAAGUUAUAAACAAAAUAAAUGAUAUAUGCAUAAUUUUUUGAAGAAAAUGAAUGGUCAUGAUGAUAAAAAUCUACAACGACGAAUAUUUUGAUACAAAUGUAGUAUAUAUAACGGUCGCACACUACUUAAAUCUAGAGUUACCUUGACAGCCCAAAACCACUCACGGAUACAGGUGCUAAACCACUAAGGUGAUGGUCCUCGGCAAGCAAACCGUCAAGUAGAAUCUGUAAAAGUAGGAUUAGAGUGUUAAAAAAACACGAUUUGCUUGGUGGCUGACCGUCAAACAUUAUUUACUUUGACUGUUGUUGGCCGUCAAGCCAACUAGAGCAAUGUUAAAAUUUCAACUGCACCUAGAACAUGUUCCAACUGCUAAGUAAUUAAAUUUCCACUCCCUCUGAUAAUUCAUAAAUGCAUAUAAUUUCCACUCCCUCUUAUAAGAAAACCGCUAUAUUUUUUUUUAAAAAAGAAGAAGACAAAAAGAGUACAUACCGAUAAUUCAUAAAUGAAUAUAUAGCUAGUACAGUUUUAUAUUAAUUUGUGUGUGAUCCGUGGGAUUAUUAUAGCUGUAUAGGUGUUUGAGGAAUCCGGAUUUUAGUCUACGGGCAAAAUGAACAAUUGAUGAAUUAAGAUCUCUGGUUCCGUCGUGGUGAGUUGAAACUACUCCCUCCAUAUUUAUUUAUAAGACGUACAUGUAUAUUAAAAUUUAAAGGUUGCAAUAUUUGUCCAAUAAUUUAACUAUUUAUUUUUAUUUUUAUAAUGUAAAUUUUAUAUGGUUGAAUUCGUAAUCAAAUAUAGUUUAUAAUGAUCAUAAAUUUAUAACCAUAAAUAAUAUGAUAUAAGAAAUGAUUAUAAGAUAAAUGAAUGUUUAAAGAGUUAUUUGGAAGACCGGCCAAAUCCUAGCAUGACUUAUAAACAUUAUAAACAUAGACAAGGGAGUAACAAACUAGCAGCAGAUUGGCAUGCGUGUAUUUCUGUUCCGCUAGAGCCUUUUCUUUUCUUUCGGUGUGCAGCGUUUAGCCGCAUUCACGUCCCUGCCUCAAGUCUGUGCCAUUUCUGAAUUGCUGCAGGAAUGUGGUGCUUCUGAAUUUCUGAACUCCUGUUCCAUCUGCUGCACAACUGCAAUCCCAACACAUCAUUGUAUGUUUUUACCCAGUAACUCAUCGCUGUUGCAGGUGUUGCACGUCUGGGCUCUUGGUUUUUGCGGCUCUCUGUCGGUGUACUGCACAUGCCGCAAGAGAAAAAUAAAUUACGGGUGUUCUGUUGUUCCCACGGUAUAGUCGGACCACCCUAUCCCCAGUGCAGAUUCACGGCACGUGCUUCACACAAACAAUGCGACAUUAGAGCAUCUUCAUCCUCAGCGGAUUAGUCAUCUUCCAUCACUAAUAUAUUUUCUUUCUCCCUUAAUGAUAACAUUUUUUUUUAACUAGUACUGCAUCAUAUUACUAAAACACCUCAUGCACAUGAAUAUGGCAGAUGAAUGAAUCCCCUUCAUUUGGGUAAGAGGGAUGUGUGUUUUGGUGAUGACUAAAUUUUUUUAUAAUAGAAAUCAAAUUGAUAAUCUAUCAGAGUACCUCUUAUAAAUUUUUAAUGUAGAAGGAUGAAUAAUCUGCUGAAGAUGCUUGUGCCAAACAAAGCAUUCCCUCUCCUUUCGAACAAAAUCUCCCGAAAUUACAUCAAAUCGGCCGUCGCCAAUCACUCGCGCCGAAACUCCCACGCCACGCAUGAGAGACCGCAAGGCUCCAAGCGAGCAUAUCUGCCGUCCCCAUCGGCAGAACACCCAUGACCUGCACAUCUUAUCUAACCCUGUCAGCUAGUACCACCCCACUAGCACUAACAGAGGAGAGGGAUUGCAUUGCAUGGUGCGCACCGGGGACACUUGGACCCCUAAACCAUCCUCCGUUCCCUCCGGAUAAUGCAACCACCGCGCGUUGAUCCUACUGCGUGAGAAGCCGCAAGGACCUCACGGAUGGUGGAUGAAAAAGGAUGGCCUCUCUGGCUCUCUCUCUCUCUCUCUACUCACAGGAACAGAGUGCCUCUGCGUCUCUCAUCCACUAGCCUCUCUCUCUCUUUAAUUGGACUCUUUUCUCCGCAAGAAAAAAAAAUAGUUUGAUUCUUUGAAAAAAUGUCAUGUAAGUUUUUGCUAGAUUUUGGAGCUGCAGAUCUAGUAUCUCAUUGGGGAAAUAUCUCUUUUCUAGGGCUGUUUGGCCUCAGGGUGAGGGGGUGUACGGUUCGAGGACUAAAGUUUAGUCCCUAUCAUAUCAAAUGUUUAUAUACUAAUUAUGAGUACUAAAUAUAGAUUAAUUAUAAAACCAAUUGCAUAAAUGAAAGUUAAUUCGCGAGAUGAAUCUAUUAAGCCUAAUUAGUUCAUGAUUUUACUAUGUGAUGCUACAGUAAAUAUGUGCUAAUCAUGGAUUAAUUAGGCUUAAUAGAUUCGUCUCGCGAAUUAGCCACAACUUAUGCAAUUAGUUUUAUAGUUAGUUCACGUUUAAUUCUUCUAAUUGGUAUUUAAACAUCCGACUAAAAAAUAAUUUUUUAUGGAUCCAAACACUGAUGGUAUGGCAACAUCAAACAGGAUUCAUUUCCUGAUACAUGAACAAGUGGUCACGCAUUUUUAUUGUAUUCUGGUUAUUUCUGCGUGUUUUUAAAUUAAACUGACAUGACGUAUCAUUGGUUUGUAUAACCAGCAAAUGGAAGGCGCAGAUUCUAACAGCGAAACAACAGCAGCCACGGAGCCUUAGAUUUUAACAGCAGUAAUAAAAGAACAAAUUUGUACAUCACAUUUGUUACGCGGCAGCCCACAGGAGAAUCAUGCAUGCUAAGUUCUUUUCUUUAAAAUAAAAUCAAAUGACUAGUUGAGAUCAAUGUGCCUGGUACAACCAUCACUAGUUAAGCAUAACCCUAAUCUAGGUUCACACUCCAGAUUUAGAUUCGGAUGCUACAGCUAUGCUAAUUAAUAAUCCCAACUCUGGUCUAUAACAUAUAAACUUCCAAGACACCAAAGUAUGUUUAGACUACCUGACGCCUGUUGGUAAUGUCGAGGCCCCAGGAGAACUACCUGACACCCUGGCCUGACAGUAUGUUAUGUAAGCCGGCACUUGUCUGUUUUUUGUUUCUUUUUUUCUUGGUUCUCUAUACAGUUAUUUGCUAUAUAAAACCUAUGGGCAAUGCCCAGAUAAAAGCGGCAUGCUACGCUUUUUCCUUGAGCUCGGCAGAUGGCACGAGCACCACAGCUUGGUUUUUCAUGUCACUCCCACCAUUAGCGCACCCCUCUGCUCCUAAUGACAGCAUGUUCUUCUUCAGCCUCUGCAGCCUACACUCGAGUCCACACAUCUCAUCGAUCACAUCCAGGAAAGGCUGAUAAUCCGAGGCCCCAGUAUCCACCAAAGGAGCAGCUUGCUCUUCAGCGCGGGCACCAGUAUCCAUCUGAGAAGCAGCUUCGUCUUCAGGGCAGGCAUCAGUAUCCAUCUGAGAAGCAGCUUGCUCUUCAGCACUGACUUCAUUGUUUGUUGGAUGGCUCAAAUCUGUCUGCAAACAAGACUUGCUUGUAGGUGACGUACUCUCCUGCAAACAUGUUGAGGAAACACAAUCAAUGCAAUGAAUCUGACAGAAGUAGAUCCUUUUUCAAGGCCCCUGCCACUCUAGAUUAGGUCUACAAAUUAGGCAAGAUAAACACAAUCAGCUUUGUGUAUAGUUUCUACCUUCACUUGGCCUGUUGGAGAAGAAGCUCCUUUAUUGUGUAGCCUCAGAGGGCUGCUAGUUGAUUCCAUCUUCCUCUUCUCAAGAUUCCGUUGCAAUCGUGUAGGCACAUUGAUAAUUUCAGACAAGGGAACAAAGCAUGAAUUGUCUCCUGAAUCAACCAUGCCUGAGAUAUCAGCUUUUUCUUCAUUUGUCCUCAAGUUAUUGGAGAGAGUAGCAAUCCGAUCAUUUCUUUCAGUCUGCAGGACAUAAGUGGCAUUAAAAGAAUUGUUCUGUUGAAUAUAAUAUCUGAAAGAUAAAAUGGAAGAAAUAUUUAAACCUGGUGAGAGCAAUAGAGGUUGCGUGGAAUACCCUUGCAAGAGGUUUAUAGGAUAACCUGCCUAUCCUAAUCUAUCUAGGCAUGGCAGGGAGCUGGCCUGGGCCUGGUGUGUUCCCAUACACGCACAUAGCACAUACAUAUCUAACACGCCCCCGCAGCCUGAACGUUCAGACUGGACCUGAACUUCGUGAACACCGAAGAAGGCAAGCCUUUGGUGAAGAUGUCGGCGUACUGAGAGCUCGUCGGAACAUGAAGAACACUGACAUCUUCGGUGGCAACGCGCUCAUGAACAAAGUGUAGAUCAAUCUCCACAUGUUUGAUGCGCUAAUGCUGAACGGGGUUCGAAGACAUGUAGACAGUGCUAACGUUAUCACAAUAAAUCAAGGCGGUACGGCGCAGAGGAACAUGCAGCUCAACAAGAAGUUGGUGCAACCAAGAAACCUCGGCAACGACAUUGGCAACCGUCCGAUACUCAGCCUCAGCACUCGAGCGAGAGACUCAAUAUGACGCUUGGAGGACCAGGAGAUCAGAUUGUCACCCAAAAACACGGCAUAGCCUAAAGUGGAUUUGUGGGUGUCCGAGCAGCCAGCCCAAUCAACAUCAGAAUAAACAAGCAGAUUAGACUGAGUAGAUGGUCGCAGAAGCAAGCCCAGGUGAAGAGUUCCACGCACAUACCGAAGAAUGUGCUUCAAAGCAGCAAGAUGCGGUUCUCGCGGGUCAUGCAUAUGGAGGCAGACCUGCUGAACAGCAUAGGCAAUGUCUGGACGUGUGAAGGUGAGGUACUGUAAAGCACCGGCAAGACUCCGAAAAUCAGUGCCAUUGACAAGAGGAGCACCUUCAGCAGCAGACAGCUUCGGAUUAGUAUCAACCGGGGUGGAACAAGGCUUGCAAUCGGUCAUACCAGCACGAUCCAGAAUCUCCAGCAUAAACAGGCGCUGGGACAACAGAAGAUCAUCACCAGAGCGCUGCACAUGCAUACCCAGAAAAUGAUGAAGCUCACCAAGAUCCUUCAUGGAGAGUUCCCGCUGCAAGGCAUCAGUAGUGCAGCGAAGUAGAGGUGUUGAGGACACCGUGAGAACUAUGUCAUCCACAUAAAGGAGGAGAUAGACAGUGUCGUCGCCACGGUGAUACACAAAGAGAGAAGUAUUAGUCUUCGCCUCCACAAAACCAAGCUGCAACAAGUGUGUGGCAAAAUGGCUGUACCAAGCGCAGGGUGCCUGCUUAAGUCCUUAAAGAGAUCGAUUAAGCCGAUACACGUGAUCAGGGAGAGCAGGAUCUUCAAAACCAGUAGGCUGAGCACAAUAAACUGCCUCUGAGAGUGUCCCAUGAAGAAAGGCAUUCUUCACAGCCAACUGAUGAAUCGGCUAGCUGCGAGAAGGCCAAGGAGAGCAUUGUACGGACGGUGGCGGGCUUCACUGAAAGUCUCAGAGAAGUCAAUCCCUAGGUGCUGGGUAAAACCUAGCAGCACCAAACACGCCUUGCAGCGCUCCAGAGAACCAUAUGCCUUGAACUUGUGCUUAAAGAUCCAUUUGCCGGUCACAACAUUGGCCCGAGCAGGACGGGGAAUGAGAUCCCACGUAUUGUUGGCCAAGAGCGCAUCAAAUUCCUCCUGCAUUGCCCGGCGCCAAUUUAGAUCAGCAAGGCCGCUCCGGUAGGUGCGAGGAAGCGGUGAUAGCGAGGUGGAGUGGAACAGCGUUGGGAAACGAAAUCCCAGCUUCCCGCGCGUGGUCAUGACAUGCUGAUUUGUCACAGGACGCACGGGAAGAGCACCGCGAGGGAGGGGAACCGGAGCAGAAGCUUGCGGGCCUUGGAGCGACGUCCGGAUCGGAGCAUGGAUAGACCUGGAGAGGCCGGCCGGAGCCGACGGGGCGCCCCCACUGGGCAGCAAGGCUGGCAGGGGCUGAAGACGUGCUAACCGCAGCAGCAGUUGAAAGAACACCGAGCAGCGUGCCAAGGGCCGGCAAGCCAGCAGUGCCGGUGAGGCCAAGCACAGCGGGCUUGGGAGAGACGCCAGGAGGUGUGAUGACAGAGGGCAUCGUCAGGGCCGGCCGGGCGCCGAAGAGGGCAGCCGGUGCUGACACCGAGCGGCUGCAGGGCAGCGCCCAGCGGCGAAGUGGAGGCUACCGAAGGAGUAGAAGCCGCACGUGGCUGUGCGGGGGCACCGGGCGAAGGAACAGCCACACAUGGCAGUGCAAGCGCGCCUGGGGGUGAACCUGUAGGUGACAGAAGGGGUGCUGGACCGAUAGGUGCUGGCACCACAUUAGUAGGCUCCAAUAAAAACUCAAACUCCUCAGAAGUGGGUGGCGAGUGGCUGCUGGGAAAAGGGAAACGAAGUCUCGUCGAAGACCACAUGCUGAGAGAUGAUGACUCGGUUGGAGGAGAGAUCAAGACAGCGGUAACCUUUAUGAUGAGCAGAAUAGCCAAGGAAGAUGCACAAAGUGGAACAAGGAGCAAGUUUGUGGGCUGCAGUAGCGGAAAGAUUAGGAUAACAAGUGCAACCGAAAACACGAAGGUGAUCAUAGGAAGGCUGGGCGCCAAACAAAGCCAUGUGUGGCGUCCAAGUGUUUUGGAAGGCAAGAUGUUAAGCAGAUGUGUGGCAGUAUGCAGUGACUCAACCCAAUAAGAAGGGGACAUACUAGCCUGGAACAGGAGAGCGAACAACAUUGCUGAUGCUCCGAAUCAUGCGCUCAGCCCGACCGUUCUGGGACGAGGUGUAUGGGUAGGACAUGCGCAGGUGGACGCCGUGAGUGAGGAAGAAAGUGCGGGUACUAGAGUUGUCAAACUCGUGGCCGUUGUCGCACUGAACAGCUUUCACAGUGGCGCCAAAUUGAGUACGCACAUAGGAGAAAAAGUUAGUCGAAGUUCCAAACGUGUCGGAUUUUAGGCGUAAGGGAAACGUCCACAAGUAAUGAGAGCAGUCAUCAAGAAUGAGCAAAUAGUAGUUGUAUCCAGACACACUAAGAACAGGAGACGUCCACAAAUCAGUGUAUGAGAUCAAAAUUGCUAGACCCUUGAGAUGCUGAUGACUGAAAAGGCAAACGAGUAUGACGCUCCAACUGGCACGCAUGACAAAUGGGACUGAGGUCUUUAUUACGAAAAUGAACUGCAGAAGCAACUUUGGACAAAACUUUAUGACCGGGAUGACCAAGACGGCGAUGCCACACCGACGGGUUGGAGACAGCGGCGAGGGCGUGAGCAGUAGGAAAGCGAAAGGGGUACAGCGGCCGAGAGCUAUUGCACCUGACGAUCAGCCUCCGAGACUCCAGAGCCUUCACAGAACAGCUAGCGGGAUCAAAUUCGACAGAACAAUUGUUAUCAGAGGUGAACUGGCGAACAGAAAUAAGAUUCUUAAUAAGCUUAGGUGAAACUAGAACGUUAUUAAGAGAUAAUGAACCGGGAAGGUGAGCUGCGCCAGUAGCUGUGAUGGGAAGCAAGGAGCCGUCAUCGACAACAAUGGACGAAGGAAAAGGAUACCACGGGUAAGAUGAAUAUGAAAGAGUACCAGCGUCUGAAGUUAUACCGGAGGUGGCACCUGAGUCGAGAUACGAGUCGUUUGCCUACGGUUGGUGGAGCGUCAUGGGGCUGAACGUCGAGGCUAGUGAUUGCUGAUCCCAGGAGGAAGGCAGGUCCGUCAUGGGGUUGUAGAUACCCGGAGGAACCUGAGGCGCCUGCUGCCCCAGGUAGGGCGCCUGCAGGCCGUGCUGUUGCGCCUGCUGCUGAGUGAGGAAGGCCUGCUGCUGUGCUAAAAGAGGUGCGACGGGCUAGAGGGGGGCUGCUGCCGUGGACCUGGGUACAUCUGGAUUGUACCCGUCCACGGGUUCCAGAAGGAGGGCUAGGGGCUGCCGACCUCCUGUGCCGUGCCUGGAGCAGGAGCAUGGGCUUUGGAGUUGUGGCCGGCAGGGGCCUUGCCACCACCACCCUGGCGCGGCUGGCCACCGUGCUGCUGGAGGACCCGGAGUUCCCUCCCUUGCCACCCCCUUUGCCGCCCCCGAAAUUGUUGCUAGUCCGACCAGCAGAUUGGUGGGAGGAGCCAGGGACGUGCGAGGAGGAGGAAGCUUGAGGCUGGUGCUGGUGAGGAGCGCCGUAGACGGAGUCGAAGCAAGAUUCACCAUCGCGAGCCUCCAGGAAGGUGCGGAGAGGCCGGCUGCGCCUAAUGUCGCGGCCAACGGCGGCGAACUUCUCGUUGAGCCCGCGGAUGAUGCUGAGGAUGAGGGUGCGGUCGGAGGGCAUCCGCCAUGCCCUUGAAGCGCCUGCAGUAAUCUGUGAUGGACAGAUCGCCUUGGACAAAGUUGCGGAACUAGGCGUCAAGGUAGAGGGCCCGUGUCUCCCGGUUGCCGAGAAACUGGGUCUUGCUGGCAAGCCAGGUGGCACAAGCGGUGGCACCACGCUCGCCACGCUCCAUGACGAUGUUGACGAGGUCGUUGGCGAUGGUGCCGUAGAGCCAAGACCGAACGGCGCAGUCCAUGCGCCCCAAAUCUAGAGAGGCCAGAGCAGCACGUCACGAAGUACAUUGGUCCUGCAGGGAGUACUUGCCGACGGUGAGGAGGAACUACUCGCGCCACCGUGUGUAGUUGCCGGAGGCGAUGUCGAGGACAACGGGGAUGAGACUUCGGAUAUCCUAUACAGCAACGGCUUAGGCGUGCAGAUUCAAGACGGCAUCAGCUUCGUGCAGGAGCAAGGCUUGAUGGGCGUCGUUGGGCGCCUGAUCGGAGACGGAAGAGGCAUCGGCGGCGGCGUCCUUCUCAGAGUCAGGCGGGGCACCCUUGCGCUCCUCGACGGCGCGCGCCAGGGCGUCGCGGAGGCGAGCAGCAGCGGCGUCGCGCUCCUGCACAACGGCUGCGUUCUCUUCCUCAGCCUUGACGGCGCAGGUGAGGGUAGCGGCACGCGCAGACUUGCACGUCUGGCGCUCUUUUUCAGUGCGUUUGGUGGGCUCGGCAUCCGUGCCGUCGCGCUUGGUAUUGGCGGCGGAAGUCUUGGUGGUGGCGAGCGGCAGGGAGCCGACCAUGGGCGUAGCGUGAAGGACGCGUGCGGGGUUAGCUACGCCGGCUAGGGCGCACUAGGUUGCGGAAGCAAGAACAGGAGAAACCCGGACUCGUGAUACCAUGAGAGCAAUAGAGAUUGCGUGGAAUAAUAGAUUGAUUAGGGUAUACAAGGUGUACAAAUAUAUAGGCAGCCCUUGGGAGAGGUUUAUAGAAUCAUAAUCAAUCAAAGGAUAACCUACCUAUCCUAAUCUAUCUAGGCACAGCAGGGAGCCAGCCUGGGCCUUGGCGUGGUACACACCAGGCCCAUACACGCACAUAGCACAUACAUAUCUAACACCUGGCACUAUUUAUCCUUCAAUAAAUUUACACAUGCAACUAAAAUAUUCAGCAUAAUAGAAGAAUUUAAGACUGAAAAUAUAAUCCCCUUUAGACUGAAAAUACGAUCCCUCCGUUUUUAUUUAUAGGGCACACACGCAUAUCAAGAUUCAAACUUUGCAAUCUUUGACCAACAAUUUGACUAUUAAUUUUUUAUUUUUAUAAUGUAAAUUUUAUACGGUUGGAUUCAUAAUCAAAUAUACUCUACAAUGAUUAACCGUAAACAAUAUAAGAUAAGAUAAAUAAAUGGUCAAAGUGUUAUUUGGAAGACCGUGCUAAGUAAUACCAUGCCUUAUAAACAUAGAUGGAGGGAGUAUAAUGUUACCUACAAAUGAACUAAUCUGCAAAGGUGACUGUGGACUUACAAAAUUCAAAGAAUCAAGUAUCGAAUAAGCACUAUGGCUAUAAAUCUUUUAGGCCAUGGCAUUAUUAUAACUGCCAGAAUCAACAUGAUUACUUUCGUACAACUGAGAAUCAAACUCUUCUCCACAUUUGCUAGUAAAUGUGUAUUUCAGACAUUGGAAAAGAAAGGUAUGAAUUGUCUGCGGAAUCAACCUUGCCUGAGAUUCCAGCUUUUCCUUUACUUCUUGAGCUUUUGCUGGGAGCGGGAUUAUGACUGUUCCCUUCAGCCUGAAAGAUGGCACUACUGUUAACAAUAUUUGAGUACAUAACAACAAGAUAUACAGAACAAAAAACUAGAAGUUGGUUUUGUGUAUCCUUCAAUAAAUUUACAAAUGGAAUCAAAGCACAUGGAAUAGAAGAACAUAUAACACUUAUAGUGCAGUUUAGUUCUUGCCAACAACUGAUUCUGUAUAAAAUAACUUGUACACUUAUAAAAAUCACAGAUUCACUGGAACAAACGCAUUGACAUCAUUAUUUUUCAGGCUUCGAUUAUGGGCCUCGCAGCAAAUGCUUGCACAGAGAAAACAGAAGUUAUAGAGCGGGGAAAAAACAAAAAUCAAAGACAACGCAGAAUGCAAGGAAAUACUAUUUAUUCAAUGAUCUUAUGAAUAACCAUGAGACAGAAAUCCAUGCCUUACGAUCUCUGAGAGCAGCACACCGCGUAUUUUUGAACCAUUUAUCAAUCUGCAAAUGGAUGGCAGACAUUGGUUACUGACGCUGGAGACAUUUUCAGAAAAAGCAAGUUGAUAAUCAUUCUAUACUUCUUAGAUGCUCUGCCCAACACAUAUUGUUAAAUUAAAAGAGUGACAACUGUGAUAUGGACUAGAGUAUCUGACUUUAAUUAUGAAUGGUAUUUAUAGCAUUACUAUAACAAAAGAGUGGAACAUAAUCUGGUAACACAGGGUAUUUGAACAGCAGAAAGCAACUUUCAGGUGAAUAAAUCAAUAAACACAUAAGAGUAAUAAAGAACACAGAGCUGUCAAAAUUGAUCUGAUCAAAUCCUACGUACCUUUUCGAAAGAAAUGUCCAAUUCUCUUGAGAGAUUUUCUUUGACAUCUCGGGGUGGGAGCUCAUUUUCAGCAAAAGAUUUGCGAAGCACCUAAUUUAGGAAGGUGAAGGACAGAUGAUAUUAAUGACACACAAGCGUGAACAGGACAAAAAUGACAGUUCCACAGUAGCAAGCAUAAUAAGCUAGUUUUAACUCCAAUUACAGCCAUGAGUUUGCCUUGUAUCACAGCAUAUACAAAUGCGAAUCAUAAUAUGCAUAUAUAAAGAGGUCUAUCAAUUUAUAAAGGUCAUUAAAACUUUCAUAUACCUCGACUGCCGUGGGAGGAAUCCUGAAGAGUUUUCUCCCCUUCUUCUCAGUCUUUUCAUCAGAUAUAACAUUCGAGAAACCAUCAACAGAAUUAUCCUGUACACUGGCUGCACGUGUUCUUCUUUUCUUUCUUCUGUCAUGACCCCAAUCUUCAUCCUCACUCUGUUCUUCAUUCUCAAUUAUUUUUCCAAACAUUUCCUAUGCAGGGUGAAAGGUAAUCAACAUUCCAGCCCGUUGGGCUAACUUAUUGCCGCAAAUCAACAUUUACUUUGUGAAGGUUCAACUUGUACAUAAUAUUUCUAAGAAAAAUGUUUUAAAUUGCAGAACUGGUAGCAAUAAUUUUACUGGUGAAACAUACCUCAUUAAGUCUUCUAUAAUCAACAUCUCUUCUUGGCCUUUGGUAGGUAAGGAUCUGUGCACCAUCAUCUUCACCAGAGUCUAUGCCUAAGUCUAAAUUGGCAUGACAUAACCCUUCAACGUCAUUGAAGUCUGCUGAUAUGAAGUCCGGAAUAUCAUCAUUUGGUGAAUAAAGUGGACUUCCUGAACCAUUGGAAUCAUCAGACAUAAUUUCUUCCCCACUGUUCAUGCAGCUGCUGCUGGCCUCAUUUUCUUCAGGAUCAUAGUCCUCAUCACCUGAAUACUCAGAAAGCCAAUCUUCAUCUAGUGCAUCCUCAGAGUCUAUUUGUUCCGUUGCUUCCUUGAAAACAUCCUAUAGAAAGCAAGUAGAGUUGACAAUUGACAGAAAUAGGAUAGAAUUGCUAGAGUAAAAUGAUCAUAGCAUAGGUGCAGAAAUGUUAAAGACUCACUUCAAAAUGGCACUUCACUGUAAAAUUUGUUCCUAGAUGUGCAUUAAUAGCUUCUAAAAUUUUCACCUUGCACAAACAGAAUUUGCAAAGCCAACCAUGGCUACUUGUUGGAAGAGCUGAGAAAAGCACAAGACAGAUAUACAUAUUAAUGGUAAAAUAAUUAGUAACGCAAUAUCUGAGUAAAAAUAAACUAACAGGUCUCUGUGUAUUUCCGAUGAGGAGCAAAAACUACAGCAGGCUGCAGGCAACACAAAAAAGUACUGAAGUACAAUACCAUCAGAACAGCAUCUGUACUUUUUAUGCAUGUCAUUGCAACCUAGAUUAUAUGACCAAGCAUUAAAUUACAUCACUUUUUGAUUUUAUCCUGAGGAAGGUGAACAAGAUUUUAGGUACACAUCCUCUCAUGCACAAAGUAAAAAAGCUGUGUGAAUAGAAUGGCUCGUUUAUUUUGAUGUGUCUGAGCAAAACGGUUACCCAUCAACUGGGUUUAAAAUGGAAAACUUAACCUUCUAAAUUUUCCCUGUCAGCAAACAAAAUAGACACUGUUUUGCCAUAAAUGUGUAACUAUUUUAUCACACUGAGUGCAUAAAACAGCAUGAAAGGCAUGUAAACAAGUACGGGACCGCAUAUUCGGAAGGAAAAAUAGAAAUUAUUACCACUUUUUUCUAAAGGAGGUUCCAAACAUUUCUCAUGAUAUGUCCUUUUGCAGGCCCCUUCACAGAAGAUAAUUUUAUUGUUGGGAAAUGAUUCAUGAGACUUGCAUGUUGAACACAUGAUCUAGCAAAACAAAUAUUGACAAUUCGUCAGUUGAAAGAGAGAUCCUGAGGAAAUAGAGCAUUUGAUGUUCACUUGAUGCUAUACGUACAUGUUCAGGAUCAGUACACUCAGCUGGAGGCAUCACUGGGUCAUCAAAGCUCCCAGUGGAAUUACACACAUCAAGUUGGCGAAUAACAUCACGUAUAGCAAUUUUGCAUUUUAUGAUCUGCUUCUUGGCACGCUGCAGUUCCUUCUCUGGUUUUAUUUUCUCUCGGCUGAUUGGAAAGGUGCACUUAAUCAGCGUACUAUUUACUAUCAUACCUAUUUUGCUGUACUAACACAUAAAAGCAACUGAGCAAGGAAAGUAAUGUGGUGGGGCUGAUUUAAGGACAGUAAUAUGACCAGUUAACAUGAUUCUAUCCAAAUAAUAGACAGGGCGGUGGGAGGGGUGGGGGGGUUGGAGUACUUUCGCUAGCCCAUGCCAACAAAAGGUACUGCACUGAUCUUGUGAAACAGAAUUCAAUCACAUAAGUCCAAAAGUCUACUUCCAACAAAUUAAGACAGAUCAGUAUUAUUCCUAGACUUCAAAAUGCCAGAAGCAAGUGAACUUGUGAUCUUACUAUAAUUAAGAAAUUUUAAUUGCUUAAAGCACGUUGUUGUCGUAUUGUCCACGUGCAGCUAUUCUUCUUGGGUGGUAAUAAAUCCCAUAUAUAUUAGUUCCAAAACAAAUUGGCAUCUUGUUGGCUUCAAGCCUUAAAUGUCUAUUCAAACAUGAUAACAUUAUUGAGGUUCCUGUUUUAAAUGAAAAAUGCAUUUACUCUAGUUGUAUACAUAGAUCUGAAAAUCUUCUUUCACCAAUAGGUCACAGCAGUUAGAGCGCAGUGUGCACCUUUGCCCAUUCCAUCCAUCUCCAGAGUAAGCAUCUAGUAAGUUCUGCUCCAAUUUUAUCUUGAUUAGAAAAUAUCUCGCUCUUCGUUCCAAGCGAGUUGCUUCAUCAGUAUUUUGCCGCUUUCUUUUCUUCCUCCUCCUCGCAACUAAUCCUGUUACAACUUUCCCAGCAACAGAAUCUGAACCCCUCCGACGUUUCAGAGGACUACAAUGAUAUUUAUUCUUUAUGCUUUUUGCCAAAGUAGCAUUCCUAACUUUCCUUGGUGACCUCUUCAGAGGAGAAUCAUGUUUACAUUGGCGGGAAGCAUUACGUCGACUUGGCCUGUUUGAUACAGGAACCAACUCCGAAGAGGUCUCUUUCCUCCUUUUUGAUGAUCUCCCUGAGUUGGAGCACACCGUUUUAUUUUCUGAAGAACGCAUAACUAGUGAUGGUGAUUAUCAAAGGGGACGAAGACCUAAUACAAUAAAAAGAUAUGUCAAAUACGAGAUAGGCAUGGUAAGAAGCAACAGGAAAAUUUUAAUUUAAAAGUAACAGCAACAUAGCAUGAUAAGCAGAUUGCUAUAGCAUGUCAUUAUUUAGCACAAAGCUAUGGUGAUCUCAACUACCUAUUUUUCUUAGGCAUGCCAUCUAAGAAAGGUUGCCAAACCAGACACAUCUACAUAAAGCGCUUGUUGGUUGGCCAGGUUCAACAAAAUAAAAUAAAAAACCGGCACUAAUCUAUAUAGGUGUUCGCAGGAACAUAUUAAAAAAACAUUGACAUGAACAUAAUACACUAUGGUUUCAGAUGAUGCACUGUAUUACUUCUCCCCAACCGUGUGUGCAAAUAGCUGCCACAAGGUGGACAGGUGAGCGCAGUACGUUUUGCACAUACCAAACCCAAUUGGACAGUCUGAAGCACAGAGUAUUGGCAAUUUCAAGUUGGUUGUUCCAAGCUGACAGUCGAAAUGGGGUCAGACUGUAUGGAGAAGAAACAUCUCUAACUCCAAAUCCAUUCGAGGCAGUAGAUCCGGACUCUACAGCACAGAAGCGAACCAGACGAAACCUACCUAAUCGACCCCCUCUUCAGAAACGCUAACCAGCAAACCAAAUUGCAGAGCAGAGGGGGAGAGAGGCGGGGGAGUGGAGGCGAAAUGGGGUUUCAGACAGCGUAGGCUCGGGCCGCGACGUACAAGUACAAUGGCACCGGCGACGGAGCCGCAGACGGCGACUAGCCCGAGGACGCGGGGCGCGCCGACCACACCGGCCCACCCGCCCGCCCGCUCAGAUGCGGGGAGCGCGGCCGGCCACGGCGGGCGCUGGAGGCCGGAGGCAGCCGACGGAGCUCGGGGCGGAGGAGACGGCGCUAGGGCAUGGCGGCGGCGGUUGCUUGUGGGGGAAGGAGAGCGGAGCGGCGGUGUGAACGGGAAGGCGGAGGCGGAGGCGGCGUCGCUGCUGCUGCGAGCGAAUUGAAGAGGACACGGAAACGGAGGAGGCGGGGAGGGGAGGGGGGGCAGCCCGGCAGGAAUGACGCGUCGCCUCAGUUUCUCUGCGCCCCGGCCGUUGACGCCCGGGGCAGAGGACGGACGGGCGGGAUGGUCGGGAGCGGGCGAUCGGACGGCCGGGGCAACCUUGGAUGCUGCGACAAUUAUUGCUCCGUCACUCGUCAGUCAAUGGCAGGCAAGGAUGGAUUCGAAUUAUUAUUAUUAUUACAUUUUUCUAAAAAAGCAUUUAUUUUCCUUUGAUGGUGAAAUCGUUGGUAAUUUGAAGUAAAAUCAACCAAAUCAAGGGAAGUUUGCAGUGAAGUCGCCCAACUUUUAGCGAGCUCGGACACCGAUGAACUUGGGAUCCUUCGUGCCAUUCACAGCAGUAACCAAUUGGGAAAUGGCCAUUUGAAAUUCUGCCCCUAAAUUUUGAAUGAAACAUUUAUUUAAAUUAAAAACAAACUGCCCGGACCCGGCCUGGCUUUUUCUUUUUUACCGAAAAACUCAGGAAUUUGGAUUAGUUGUACAGGCUACACCUUCUCAAAAACAAGUUGAUAAACACUACGUGGAAAUGAGGACACAAAGCUCCUAGAGUAGAACAAUGUAACACAGUAUCGUCUUUGCAAUUUUACAUAUUUCCUCUAUAAAACAAUCACUGCAUGAUGUUACACCGAUGAACACAGAUCACAUAUGGGCUUAACAAUAGAUGUCUGUUCAGAGUGAAUUAUCAGCCGCCAGCUAUCUCAAGUCCUCAACAGCCAAACAAAUAGACGUGCAUCAUUUCUUCGCUUUCCUAGUUCUCUUCGCAGGUUGGGUUUUCCUUGCGCCCUUUUUAGGGGCCUUCCCUGCAACCUUUGCCUUCUUCGGUGCCUUCCCCUGCAUGUCACAGGAAUCGGUUAGGGCUUCCAUCAGGAGCACUUUGAUGUCGAGAUGCGAACUAUUAAUUGUAAAGAAGGUUUCAUACUUCCAUAAUUGGUAAUCCCUGAGAAUAGCAGCACACUAGCACUAAAGAAGAUAUACACAAGCAAAACCUGGAGUCAAUGCCAUCUUUCCCUACCAGAUUCAUCGCAAACUUGUUGGUAGCACGUUCUCUACAUCUUUGGUAAUGAUUCUGUGAAAUUACUACUUCAUUGAACAUUUGAACAGCAAGGAAGCCUAAGGAAACAGGAAGGCCAGUGCUAAUUGCUAAAGGCUUGUGCAAUUUCAUGAUAAUAACCCGUAAAGCAGCAGUGCAAAGGACAUGAUAACAAGAUAUGCACAAGUGCACAAGCAUGUUAAUAAUUAAACCUUCAAAUGCCCCUCGUAAAAUUGCAGUCUGGAACUAAACACCUCUAAUUCAGAAUUCCCAAUCACUACAAGUCUGGAACACUUUAAUGGACAUCUUCUGUACAUAACAAAAUCCCAGAAACUAGCUACAGAUAAUUAGGUUAUUUUUUUCCUCGAAUGCUCACAUAAUUGGGUUAUAACAAGUUAGUUAUCAACUAAAGUGGAGGCAGGAAAACGUACCACUUGUUUCUCAGCUUUUCUUUUGGUUUUCGCCUUAGGUUGACCAUCAUCUUCAUUAUUCGGAUCAUUUUGAUAGGCCUGUGAUUCAGGAAGCUUAUCACCCUCCUCAUCUGAAUCAAAUGUGAAUCCAUCAAGGGUACCUAUACAGAAGAUAGAUCCAUAAUGUUAGAGAAGAAAAAUUGAAAUACAGGCUGUCACCAUAGAAACAAUGGGUCCAUAACUUCAUGCAGAUUGUUUUUUCCUCACAGGCGCACACUAACACUAAAGCUGCACCCAAAUGCGGAAGCACCUUUAAAUAGCUCAAUCAAAGAAUGAUAGAAGCAUGCCAUAUUAACUUGCAUGGCAGCUUUGUACAUCAAAGAUGCUCUGAUCUAAAGUCUAUAAUUAUGCUAACCUUCCAUCAUAGUCUCCGAUUCAAAUAAAUUGGACGGUGGUUCCAGUUGAAUGAAGUCAUUCAUUAUAGCCUCUAUCUGCACAGGAAAAACAGGGGAUGCAUUAUGAUAAACAGUUGCCUUGGAAUAAAAGUGACAUAGAAAAAUGGAAUACAUAAAAAAAAUGUAUAGUUGGAGAUUGCACAUUAGACACUCGAAUUUAUGACGUGUAAACUGAUAUGGUGGAUAACACUAAUAUGCUUAUAAAUUUAUUUAAUGGUUUACGAACCUUUGCUUCUGAUUGUCCCACACUCACCUGAAAGAGGAAAUGCACCAAGGAUUAAAGCCUAACUCCUAAUAAUAAAAUUGUACUUGAGUUUCAGAUAUAACUUACAACACAAAAUGUCCUGGAUGGAACUAUGGUUGUUUUGUAUAUCGUUCCUGUUUCAGUAUGAAAGAAGAAAUAAUAAGCUAACUCUUGGAAUAUGCAUGUAUCAAGACAAAACAGAGCUGGUUUUCAAAUGCUUUAGCUGAGCUUUAGUACAGAUAUCUUGCCUGGGAUUUCCUACCAUAGAUUAGAAUUCGGAAAGCCAAUGAAGUAUCUAAUGUGAAAGUUACUUGAUGGUACCUUUCAGAUCCAAUAACAAAUCCUGACUUCCAGUAGGACCGUUUGAAACUACUAUCCUCCCAACAGCACCAAUAUCUCCACUCAAAUCUAUCGAGUCACCAUCACAUUCAAUCAAUGCCUAGAAAAACAAUCAAAUACACAGAACAAAGGAUUAUUAACUAAAGUAGAUAUUAAUAAAAUAAAUUGUUGGAUAAUAUAGUUGGGAGUUUCCAGGUAAUAGCUUCACUAAGUUAUUUUCCAGAAGUCCAAUUGCCGAUAGUUCAGCUUUACAACAUAGUCACAUGUAUACAAUUCAGAAAUUUUAAACUAACCCAUGCUCUUGUUCUUAAGUCAUUAUUUGCUAUGAUUGGACACACACAGUAUCGUAAAAAACAGUACCCAUGUCAAAUCUCCUGACUGUACUUCCGUUGAUUAAAAAUUUAUUUUUGCUAAGCAGACAUUUUUUCCAUGAAGAAAACAGAAGAGGGGUGGGGGAGGACAACAGGCUUGUUGAAAGCAUUUGGUUGCAAGCAUAAUUUUUUUAAUGAGCAGUGUUCACAUAGGCAGAGGCACGGAGCACUAAUUCCUGCAAGAGUUGAUCAUACCUUUGAACGUUGAACUUUAUCGGGAAACAUUAAUGGUAACCUCUGGGAGACCUGGCAUUUUAGAAAAAGAAACAUAUACUCAAUCAAAAGGCUGCAGAAACAUAAUUUGAAAUAAUCACACAGAAAGGUACAAGCUGUUUUUUUCCCUUCUAUUCUUUUUUCUUUGGUAAACGCCCCUCAAGUUUAUCAUCCAAAAUAUCACGGGGGUGAAAAUGCAUAAAGUAGAGAGGGGUGAGUAAGACAUCUUACAGAGUUUCCUGUAAGUUUAUCUUGCAUUUCAUCCUCAGCAACUCCCUCUUGAUGUUCCAAUGCGUCUAUGUUGGACCAUGAAACAGUAAGUACAUGUUAUUCAUAAAUCUGACUUUUAAGCUGGUAACUAAAAUGGCAGCCACACUAAAAUGUCUUACCACCUAUUUGGUCUGGAUCAGAUUUUGCUCCCACAACCUUUGGUUUUUUAUGCUUAGUUUCUUGAACCCCUUUUCUCCUGGGAGUGCUAUGUGAGUCCUCUUCAUGAUUAGCAUCACCAGCCCUUGAAGGGCUGUUUCCAGGGGAAGCAUCAGAACCAGAUGAAAGUGUAAACACAUCCUUCUUUGGAGUCUAUAAAAAGAAUAGGUACAACAAUUAAUUGCAAAACUACAGCACUAGUGUCUGCACCUAGUAUGUUGUAAACUUGUAUGAAGUUAAAUUAAACAUAAGAGUUGCAAUAUCUGAUCACUAGUAACACCAUAAAAAUUGAAUAUUCCAAAGAUAAGGUCCAAACUAAUAGUUGCCACAAAGGAACCGGAACUGAUAAUCUGUGCACGAAAAAGGUGCAUGCUCAACUGUAUCGAUGGCAAAUCUUACUAGUACAAUCUGCAGAUCAAAAGAAUACCAGCCUGGAUAGCAAUAUAACAUGAAUUGAAGCUAGGGAAUUCAAACAUCUAAAUCCAUACCGAGCGCCUAGUAGUGACAUCUCGUUUUUCAUCUGUGGUUGGUCCUUCUGCAUGUUUGCCAAAAGAAUCUAUAAGCAAAUAUGUGGAACAACUGGAUUAUAAUUUUAAUGAGAAGCACUCGCUACUUCAUAAUUUUAUUGCACUAAGUAAACAGGUCAACCAGAUCUACCUUUUUUACUACUAAGAGUUUUUCUUCUAGCAAAUGUCAGAGUCUUGCGCUUGUUUUGUGCAGGGUCUUCUCUAUCACCUGCAUGAUCUGAACUAGCCUGCUUUUCUCCAUUUCCUUGUUCUCUAGAUGAAGUGGUCCUGGUAGGACUAGCUUCAGGAGAAGCAUCAGACCCAGAAGAAAGCAUCACUGGCGCCGUACUUGGUGCCUAUACCAUAAAAGAAGAAAGAAAAAUUCAAAUCCAUGUAGUAACUGCUUAUUGCUACAUAAUAACUUAUACGAAGAGAUGAUUUUGGAACAAAAAAAAUUUGGAAAGCUAAUGUAAAGACAGAAGUAAGAGUAGCCAAUGAAUACUGCAAGAACAAGGUACUAAGAAUGGCGAGAAUGACAUUUGGCACUACUGAUGGAGUUCUGACAUUUAUUGACCCAAAAGGUUCUACAAGCUCCCCUUACAAAAACAUUCACCAACCUCCAUAGACCUACACUGUGGAUCUGGAAAUCAAAUUGCUAAAACAAGCUCAAGGUUUUCAUGUGGCUUCUCAGUAUUGACAGACUCAAUACAAGAAAUUUGCUUAGAAGGGGAUACAAAUAUACAAUAUUGUGCAGCGCAAAUAGUGAAGUUUUUUUAAAAUGGAUAUUGGAGAAUUCAACCUCAAUUCGUAGCUUCAGUAUUAUAUGCUGGAACUACACUGUAAUAAUUUGGGACACAAAGCUAAAUUUCCUCAACAUGAUGGUCAAAGGGAAAAAUAAUUCACCAACCCUACUUCAUGGAAAUUGUCACAAAUGCAGCUUGGCGUAUUUGGAAGCAAAGAAAUCGAUUAAUCUUUGAAGGACGACAACGAAAUUUUUAUAUCUGGAAAAGGAGCUUCAACUUCAAGGAUGAAAUCCUCCAAUUACACAGGAAUAGAAGAAAGCGUUAGAUGUUCUCUCUUUUCUUGAGUGGAGUCUCUUGUGUAAAUGUUUUUUAGAUCUUUAGUUUUCUUUCAUUUGUUUUUCUCCCUUUUAUUUUUCCUUGUACAAUCCUCUUAUUUGUUUGUAUUUAUAUGAUAUAUAUCUAGCAUAGGGAUCUAUCCUACUGUAUUUCUUUAGAGAAAAAGGAAUGAAAAAGGUGCUGACUAUCUUAUAGCCACUGUCACGAAUUUGUGACAUAGAAACUACCAUAGCACCAUUCACGACAUUGCUUGGUGCUAUCAUAGGUGGACGGCUACUGUUUAACAGAAAACACAACCAUAGCUGCAUACAGACUUGUCCUGAUACAAACUCACAAAUAUCAAUUCGAAAACGAAACGGCCUACAGCUCAAUCCUACGAGGAACAGGAAGAACAAGAACUUUCUUGAGGAGGGCAUGGACAGUUUACGGCACAGGAAGUGCCAAUUAUCAGCAUGCACAGAUCAAUGCUAGUUCGACACCAGUUUGCUUCUGAUGUGUGAAGCUGAAGCCGCACAUUUAAUUUUGACCACGAUAUGAGUGACUAAACAAGAGGUUAGCACUUAGCACUCAGAGGAUGAAAACUCUUUUCACCCAUCGGGGUUCUGGGUUCAGUACCGUCUGACCUAAUUCGCAAGAAGUUCACACUUCACAAACAAUUGCGCGACACUAAAAGCUAAAGUUUAUCCAGAACAGCUGCUCCCUCUUGCAAAAAGAAAUUUCUCUUGUCCCCGGCAGUAGCCACUCCAAGAUUUAGCCGCGGAGGGUACAAGAGAUACUCCAAAGCAGGAUGGUACCUGAAACGCGGUGAGCCAGUCGGGGUCUUCGUCUUCCUCCCCCAUUCUAACCGCUGGUGGCGCCCAGUAGCUUCGUGGGGAGAUCACGGCGCCGCCGCCGCUCGUCGGCUAUGGCCGCUGUGGGGGUAAGCGCGUAGACGGGGAAAGUCGGAAGAAGCGAGGACGAGGGAGGGAGAGGGCACGGGCUGAGGGUUUAGGGACCCGCGCCCGCGAGGGCAAACCCUGUACCCGUCCCCGCGCCCGCCGCCCGUCACGGUUAAGAAGUUGUGCCCGCGCCCGUCACCCGCGGGUACAGUCUACCCGCGGGCACACCCGUGCCCGCGGCGACGGGAAACCGGGCGUCAGGCGGCGGAGCGGGCGGCGGGCGAGAGGGGGGAAAGCGAGCCGAGCAUAUCAUGGGCCCGGCCCAUUGGCAGCCCAAUAGGCCAGUAGUGAGUUUUCUUUUUCUUCUUUUUAAAAUAUUUUUAUUUAGAUUUCCUUUCGAUUGAGGCUAGGCGACGACAAAGUUUGGAUCACUUGACGAAAGGAACACGGCAGCGCAGUUAUGUGCAAUGACGGGUAGCUGCAAGGAGAGACUCGGUAGUAGCAUACUCAUAGGAGAGCUCUCCAGUUGAGGUUACUAGCCCCGUAAUUAGGAGGGGGGGGGGGGGGGGGGGGGGGGGGGGGGGAUCACGCGAGUCAAAAGCCAAAAAAUGCUACUGUGCCAUCGCAUCAACGAGUCAGUUUCAGUUCUAAACAUUCCCUCGGUAAUUCCGGUACAUAGAUACAGCUGGUGGUAAAAGUAAACAGCAACACUUAACACCUUCGUGCCCCGGCAUGCAUAUCCAACUGGUAUGUCAUCACACAACCAAGCAUGCGAUUAAGUCAGCUACAACUUCUCUGAAAAGCUACAACUCUUUGAUGAACCACCGGCAAGUGCCGAGGAAGAGAUGGAAGGGCAUAACAAGGCUCCAUAAAAGGACUGCCACUAGGGUUUAUGAGGUUGCGGUGCAGGCGAGCCCCGGAAUCAGCAUCAUAUCUAUCAGGCGUACUGUCUCUCACUCCUCGUGAUAUUCUGGGUUUUUCUUGAGAAUUACAAAGCCCUCCAGUACUGGUGUGAGUGGAAUGUAUCUGCACAAAGCAAACCAACAGUAAUUAGAUUUCCUGGGAGAAACAUAUACAGAUGGGUGUAUAACACAUUGUUAGUUCAAACUUCAUUAUUACUUUUCAGUAGCUAGUUCAGCACGCUCCCCUGCGGCAAGCAAGACGGGUGUGGAAUGUGUCUGGAAGCCCGUAAUCGUUUUGGGCCUUCCUGCCUGACCAACAACAUCGACAGCUUGCCCAACCCGGACUGGAACAGGCAGGGGCUUCAGAUCCUCAUCCACGGUCAAAAGCAUCCUAGGCUGUUGGCAAAAUAGAGUUCAACCACAAUAUCCAACAGUUCUCUAAUGCAUUCAUAGAUGUGGUAACAAUUGGCUAUGGAAACAUACCUGCAUUGCCAGGACAAUAAUGUAAAGGAUGUAGUGAUAUUUCCCUAGGAUGGUGGAUUUCAUAUCAAGGCAGGCAUGCAAAACAGUUACAAGUCCUCCCAGUGCCAUCCUAGAAAGACCACAAGGAAAACAGAAAAAAGAUUGAAGCAUAAUCCAGUGGUAUUCACAUGUGAAUUGGGUAUUCAGAUAUAGUCACUUACGGGGAAAGAAGAAACCGAUCAGAAUGGUACGGAGAAAGGGUCAACAAGCCCUUUCCAAGGUGAACGAGCCCCUGAGCAAUUCUUACCUGAUGAACACAACAAAAUUAGUCAACACAUGCAACUUACACAACCAAGAAACCAUCAUAGUAAAUGGAUGCCAAAAGAUCAUUGUGGAGCUAUGCUUACACAAAACAGAUGAGCAGCUUCUUUGUAGUAAUAACUUGAAAGGUUGCGAAGCAUGCCAGCUAUUCUGGCAUUGUUUGUCCCAGCACCAAUCAAACCCAAUGAGAUGAUUGCAGCCUGGAGAAAGUGUAAUUAGGAUGUAAGAUUGACUAAGUAAGAAAGGAACAGCUAGAUACAAAAAAAAAUACGAACCAUUGAUACAUCAGCAUCUGCGUCAUGACUCAAUCUGCUCAGUGUGUCCAUCACAUUUACCUGAGAAGACAAGUAUUAGAAAAGCACCACCGAAAACCUACUAAAUGUCCUGGCAAUAUUAUGCAACCUAUUCAAGUGAAUGCACCACUGAAAAACUACUAAAUGUUUAAAUCGUCACAUUCCCAAACAGAACAGAGUAUUUUUGUGAUUCGAAAGAAGAAUAUACAAGAAGAAAUUGUGUAACACAAAAUUCAGAACCUUGCAUAGGCAUAUAUGAUGUAGAUCACAAUUUGGUUUAUGAUAUACACAGCGAAGUUAACUUGGCCACACUUUAAAUAAUGAGGACACCAAGCAAAAUUUUAGCGUUACAGUAAAAUCUAUCUUGCUUUGAUAUGAUUAAUUUCUAACAUGGCACUAGAUCCAACUUGAAGUCUUGUGUUCUGGGCCUAUAUUAACAGUAAGAGGGAAGAAAAGGUUUUGAAUUGAGAAACGAAAAACAGAGUUAGCUUACAAACCAAACUUUGAUCCAUAGAUUGUGGUCAACAUUUUUUUAUAAAAGAAUUAUAUCAAUAAUACAUUGAGAAUAGCACAUGUGCUUUGUUGUGUGUGUUUGUUGGUGCAAGUGCAUCCUUUCAUGCAGUAACUCAUGGUCUCAUCAGAGGGACAUUUCCAAGCGCAUGUAACAAUUGUCAAUUUACAAACCUCCAAAAGGAUUCAAAUAUAAUACAGUUUUACAUGAAAUCCAAGUUCUUAGCACUUCACUGAUCAGGCAUAAAUGAUUUGAGCAGGAGUUUCAUAUUUCUGAGAUAUUUAGGAUGUAAGACCAACUUAUCCGCAUACCUUGGGAUUAGAUAUACAGAGUAUACCAAGAGCAAGAGGAACUGCACGUCUGAUAUUCUGCUCGCCAUACUGCAAAAGACGCUCAAGUGAACGUACGGCCAUUUCAGCUCCUAAUUCUUCAGCCAUAGCAAUAAGAGCAAUUCCAAGGACAGCUGGCCCUUGGUGUGUUUCACCCUUCUCAAGAUGCUGUGAGCAAAUGCCAAGAAGUUUCUGAACCUGCAAGCAGAGUUGGAAUACAAUUAUUCAAAUCAAACAACCCAAAUUUGGUACAAGUUUGAAGUUGCUAGAAACCUUUUCCAGUGAUAUUAAAUACCUUAAGCACAUUCCCUGUCCCGGCAUAUGCCAGUGACAUUAGCGUUACAUCACAGUACUUCCCUAUCUUCUCAUCAAAUGUUUUAGAGACCUCCGCAGUAGCCUCUACACUUUCCUGAAAUAUGAAUUGGCUAUCAGUGUUCAGUAAUAGCUAAACACAUCUUUGAAAGCCACUAAAAGUGACCUUUAAAAGGGCAGGGACAUACAUCUAGCCUACAAUUGGAAAGUGGCAUGUGGCAACAGGGUAAACAGGAAGAUACUUCAGAUAGAUAUGUUUAAUCCUAGCAGGAAUUUAUUUGAAUACUUAAUCUACUCAACAAAAUUGCAAAGUUUGAAAUCAGAAGUCUCCAGGUUGCUUAAAUCACCUGUUUUCCAAGAUAUAGAAGGCCAAGUGCAACGGGAAGCAACCGUAUAAUAGGCUCUGACAACUCGGCCUCACUACGCUCCAUCAAGGCAAAUAUGAUAGACUGUGCAAUCUCUUCAUUGCAAGAACCAACAAACACCAAUCCCAAGGCAAUGGCUGAGAAGACCAAGACCUCCAGAGGUGAUUGGGAGUCACCCAACACAGCAGAAAGAUGCAUUUUCAGCUGAAAUUUAAGAAACGAUAUUAAUAAGAAACAUGUAACAGAUCAAUGGGACAGUAAGACAGUAAGCACAAUUUUCCACCUCUUCUUUCUGGGAACCAGCAUAUGCAAUUCCAAGACCCAAUAUUGCCCCAAUACGAAUGUUUGAGUCAUCCUUGCCAAUAUACUCCAUGAGAAUAGCAAGCGCCUGGCAGAAAGGUUAGGGUAUUAGGGGGGUAGGGGGGCAAAAGAAGAUGCAUGGAGAGAGGACGGGAUCAAGAGGUUUAUAAUAAAGUAAAGUAACAUACAGGAUCACAAUCAUUCUUCACGCUGCAAGUGACAAUUCCAAUACCUAGCAAAGCUCCAGCAACAACAUGAGUAUCAUUACUAUGCAAGUAUUUGUCAAGCUGAGCAAGCCCAGAAUCAGUAUCCCACAGGAGAAUCAUUCCCUGGAAACAAGUUAUUUAACUGUUAAUGGAUAGUUCAGACAAAAACAAGAUUCUCAGGUUAAAAACAUAAAGAAUACUGUAAUUAUACCAGACUAGCUGCUGCGCUGGCUUUUCCGUGUUCCUUGUUCUUGAAUAACCAGUUUCCAGAAGACCCACUGCUGGACGAAUCAGAUGGAGCGGUCAUCAACUUGUCCUGCACGAAGUAUAUAAGAAAACUUAAGAUGCACUAUUUUCUCACAAACAGGACCACAACUGUUUCAUCUCAAAAGCUAACCUGGCCAAACCCAGCGUUCACAAAUGCAUUGACGAAUGUUGCAGCCAAAUUCUGUCUUGCAGAAUCAAGACUAGAGCUGGCACCACGGCCAUCAAUCAAAUGGACCUACAAAUUGCACAACCACAAUUAUUAUGGAUGAUGACUGAAUUGUGCCACCAAAUACAGUAAGCAGUAAAUAUACAUCACCUUGUAUAUAUCCUCUGGAGAUUUUGGCUCCAUGACCUCAAUAUCACGAGCAAGAGUAAGGUAUCCCUCACUCAGCUUAGUAUUAUUAACUAUUUCUUGCAAAACCUCCUUGUCAUUGUCAUCAGAAGCUAUCUCAUCAUCAAUCUCCAUAGCCAAACCCUUCAGAAGAGGAAAGAUGAUGGUUCAAAACCAGGGGAAAACAAGAUCAUAAUGAGGUCCAUCUAAGUGUUGUGUGCUAGCCACUUGCCAUGAUUAUGAAUAUAUGUGCACACAUGGUAUAUGACAUACGAAGAGGAGAAUGGGGGUGGAGAGGGGCUUACAUGGCGUGCUAUGAUGUAUGAGAACUGUUUCUUGAGCAGAAAAUCAUCAGUUGAUGUGUACACUUGCUUCACAUACUGCAUGGGCUACGGACAUUUAAACGUGUGUUAAUAUGGGUUUGGUUCUUAAAUGAAGUGGUAUGGCAUGAGCUAAUUGUGUACUCACUUUGUCAAGUUGCAGAGCAAUUCUCAAAGCACUUGCAAGGUCUCCAAACUUCAUAUAGAUGGUAUAUGCUAUGUCAAGUGCCAACAUAUCAUCAGGAGCAGGAAGAUAUCUGCACGUUUCACGUUCAGGAACAGAAAAGUGUUAGUUUAAUUUCGCUGAAAUUCAAGUAUAUCUAAGUUCCACAUUCGUUCUGACAUAGAGGGCAAAAGCAAUACCACAGAAAAGCACACAAUAUGUUACAAAGAGAUGCAUGCUUACUUGGAUGAACUAGUAAGGUACAAGCAAGCUCUUUUGUAGUUUGUAGCGUCCACAUGCUCAACUAGCAAAUCAAGGUCUUCAACCUACAAACGAAUGAAAUUUAUGCAUCAGUAUAUUCAUUCGCGAGAAAUAUUGGGGUGUACUCUGAGAAGAACAAGUAAUAUGGAUUGAAGGUACCUCCAUCAGAAGAUCCACAGCCUCAGGUUCAGCAUUAUGCUAAUAAAAAUAACAGAAGAUAAAAAAAGUUAGCACACCUAAAAAUUCAAGAGAAGAGAAUAAACAUUCAACCAUGAACUCUAAUCAGAACAAACCUUCAUGUGAAAGGAAAUAAUUUGCUGCACGAGCUCCAUUAGGGCAUCAAUGGGCAAGUCAUCAUCCUGGAAACAAUGAAAACCACCAUUAGAGCUUUGAAAGCUAGAAAAUGGAACAGAAUAAACAGGGUCCACUACUUAAUUCCACUAUUGCCCAGUAGCAUGAAAAGAAAAAUAAAACAAGAAACAAUAAAGGUUUUGCAGCAAUUUGCAAUGAAAUUUGAUCUUGGUUACCAGGUACGUGGGACUAGAAAUGCUAGAUAAAUGGGGUAGAACACAUAAAAUGAGCCAGGAAGGAAUGAAAUGCAGUUGUUUACCAUGCCAACCUUAUCAAUGAAAACAUGCUGUGACUUUCAACUAUGCAACAAUCAACAGUAGAAGCUCAUGCGAUUCAAAACUCUAAAAUUUCAAUGUGGUAGGAAGUUAAGACAAAAACAACCAAAGAACAAAGUUUUAAACAUUUACAGGGCGUUAAAUAGAAGAAACAGGCACACUAAGUUAUAACAACAUUACAAAAGGAUUCAAGAAUUCUACUAUAGCAUGGAUAUGAGGUCAACCUGACGCUUUUGGAACUCUUGUGCGAUCUCACCGGCCAAAUUCCUGUACAUGAGACACAAAAUGAAGUAAAUCCAAACGAACAGGCAAAAUAGACAUCUCUUGAGAUAUUGAUGAAAUAGUCAACAACAGCAUUUCAGGAUGAUAUGCAAAAAGUUUCCUCUGAAAUAAAGCUAGUAUAAAAAAGGUUCAUGCCUGUCAUAAGUUGAACUGGAUGUGACCAAGUAUGUAAACAGUGUAUAAAGGUUUAUUGAUUUGUUCAUACCUUACGUAUUCAUGACCCCAUGACCCGAUGUCACCUUCAGAGCCCAACAAUCGAUACUUCAGGCUCUCCUGAAAAUAAUGUGUAGGAAAUCACAUUUUCGCAGAUGGGCACAAGGAGUUGCAUGGGAAUAGCUGAAUUUUUUUCCCCAACAAAAAACGAAUAUCUAGUCUACCACAGUGGGGGUGAAUACAGCAGGCACAUACCCUUUCUCCUUCAAGGGACAUUGUCAAAGCUAACACCGACAAAAUGUCCGCCAUGUAUUUCUGGGAAACAGUAAGAUGAGAUCAGCACUGUAUCAAACCAAUCUAAAUCACAACUCACAGCACAACUGGGUGAUCAGCACUUCACACAUACCUUCAGCUCAGAUUCUGGCAUGGUCUCAAAGUAGGACUUGAGGGUUCCAUAGUGUGGGCGGAGAAAUUUCAGCGGCUUCGGAACAGAAGUCAUUGAGCUUGUGGCGGAGCGGAUCUCCUGCCUGCAGAUUAAGUGACAGCAAAAGGAGUUACACAAGCUGUGGGUUUGCACAAAACUACAGCAGCAGCGAUCAAACUCAUCUUAAUUUUGAGCCUACGGCGAAAAGAAAUCAUACGGCAUGCUGAAUUCAAGUAUUCAACCACACAUCGUAAACCUAGAACUAUGAGCCCACACCUAGAACUAUGAGCCCACACCACAAAAACUUUGCUAGGGGAGUGAUGGUAAAUUUUAAACCUAGAACAGUGAGCUCGCACCACACAAACUUUGCUACAGGGGGAAACGCAAACUGAAUCUACCUCAUGCUCUCGAGGGCGAGCUUCUGGACACCAGGAUCUGAGUCCUGCGCUCGCAGGACGUACAGCUCCAGUUGCUCCUUAAGAGCCUGGUCUUCUUCGGACUGCGCCAUCGAACAGAACACGUCAGUCCAAGCCAAACAUCAGAUCGGAUCGAAGCAAAAUAGGGCGAGGUUUUUUAGCGGACAAACCAGAUCGUCCUCUUCUUUCUUCUUCGCCUUCUCCUUCCCUUUAACCGCCGCCGGCGGCGGAGGUUGCGAGUGCUCGGACGGCGCGGCGGGGUUCGGCUGUUCCGGCGCCAUGACGGCUCGGCGGCGGACGGGUGGAACUUCUGGCGAGAAACAGACGCGAAGCAGAGGGGAGGAAACUGAGGAAAGGAAUCGCCUUUAGAUGCGAGGAGGCGCCGCACGCAGGGCGAGUCCUCCCUCCCCCUCUCCGCUCACCGUCACGAGGCCCAGUUCUGAGGCGAAGCCGAACUCUCUCUCUAGUGGGCUCGGCCCAGUUCGGUCAGCCGUCAGCCCAGUUCGGCGACGGUAGCGUGCCGACCUCCAGGUUUUGUGGCCAUCUCCAACACGUUCGUCAAACCAAUUUUGUCCUAUAAAAAAUGUUUGGAAAACUUGGUUCCAUAGCACUGAAGGAUCAUAACUUCUGUAAAAUAUCACUGAACUGAAAGGUUGAAACGUUAACGUGAAUUAGCAUUCUGUUAGAUUUUGGCAGCAGUUCUGUUAACUUGAACAAAAAUACCCCAAACCGUUAUAACCCAUAAGAAACGCAUGCACAUGUGACGAACUGGCAACAUUUAAUCAUAAACAUAUUGUCCAUGGCAGCAUAUGCAUUAAAUAUCGAUCGACAACAUAAGGGCAUCAUUUCAACAUGUUCUGGGUCAAUUUCAUAAAGCAAACAGCAGCAGUCAAGUCUCGCUUCAGCACAGUAGCUGUUCAUACAUCGCUAAUUCAGCACAACAAAUAGUUCGACGUGGUCUACUUAAGGAUCACACUAGCACACACAACACAAAAUGAGCUUUUACAACCAGCCUAGUUUAUAAUCAGCCUCCUAGCAAUUCCUCCUGGUGAGAUGUCAAGUUGAGUUGCCAUUCUUCUUGUAGGCCCUGGACUUAGUGGUGUAUUUGGUGGUCUUGUUGGAGUAGAAGUAGAAGAUGACAUCCGUCUUGUAAUUACUCCUGGACUAACUGGUGCUUAAGCAACUAAGGCAGUUGAGGUGCUUGCUGCACCAGCCUUGGAGUUUUCAGAAGUUUUCUUGGAUUUUGAAGUACCAGCCUCUCCUUCCCUCUUCCUACACAGCAGCAAUUUAAUCAAGCCAUUAUGCAGCAAAAAUGUUGGUGAAACAAAGCAUAGUAAUAAAAUGACAGGAGCUUAAUUUACCUAGAUUUGGAAGGAAAUGAAGGUGGUAAUUCAACCUAGAUUUGGAAGGAAGUGAAGGUGGUAAUUCAACACCAAGUUCAGUUGGGGGCUCACGGCAUCCCUUCUCAAUAUGUCCAAAUUGGAAGCAUCUUUUGCAUUGGUAAGGGCCCCUUUUUUCCUGGCUCACCUCUACUCUUGAUCCUUUUGACUCUUGGCCUACCUGUAGAUCUUUCUAGCUUUGGAGGCAACAUCUCAAACCUAGUAUCAAUUUCACGCCAUUCUGACUUGUCAACCAUCGGGUUGACUUCAAAUUGAUAAGCAGCCUUGAAAUGCUCAAGUGAGUAGUACUAAUGCAUAUAGUCCUCUAGUUUAACUUGUCUCAAUGAAAAUAUGAAACAAACAGCAUGGGUGUAAGGUUUACCAGAAAUUUGCCUCUGACCAUAUGAGCAUGUUCUCAAUUCAAGGUCCACAACUUGCCUCCAAGAAUAGUUGUCUUUAGUCAAUCCAGAUAUCUCAGCCUUAAGUCCACCGCUCCCCUUGAUCGUGUACUUCAAGUUUCUCAUCUUCAGCUCAUUGAUCACACUAUCAAGAAUUGGCCCUUCAAGUCUAUUAGCGAUGUGCUACCUCAUCGCUAUCUUUUCCAUGAUCACCCCCCUAAUCGUGUCCACGAGGGCAUCCACAAGCAAACCUUUUGUUGGGGGAAAUAUUAACGACCUCCUAAUGUCCAUUAAAACAACAAUCAUGAAGGUCCAGGCCCACCUGAGGUAAUGAAGACUGCCGUCGGCCCAACACGGGAGAGGGGAGAGCCCCGCUCCCGUUCUCCCCCCGCUCCCGUGGGUCGGGCGAGGCGGAGCAUGGCUCCCCCCCCCCUCCCGUGUUGGGCCGACGGCAGUUUUGAUUACCUAGUCCUAAAUUGUAGGUCAUUUUAAAUAUAAGUGUAUAUCUAGAGAAAAAUCAAGACGACCUACAAUUUGAAACGGAGGGAAUAUUAUUUCCUUAAAUAUUAUUUAUUGCACGACUAAUGUAUUUUUCCAUUUCAAAUUGCCGAAUGUUACUAGAUGCAUUAUUGUGCUGGCGGCAACACGCGGGGUUUUUGACUAGUUAUAUAUAGCUGGCGCCAUCGAUCUCUACUUCACACCAAGAAGCCAAAAAGAGAAUCACGGUGCUCGAUCUCGCCUCCCCUCCACCGUCAAGAAAACCACAGGUCGUCUCCACCAUCUGCGAAGGACAAUGCGCGGCAGCGAGACCAACGCUACGGCGGCGGCGCCGCACGUCGUGUUGCUCUCGUCCCCGGGCAUGGGCCACGUCGCGCCGCUGGCCGAGCUGGCGCGCCGGCUGCACGACGCGCACGGGUUCACCGCCACCGUGCUCACCUACGCCAGCUCCGACUCCGCCGCGCAGCGCGCCUUCCUCGCGUCCCUGCCGCUGGCCGUCGGCUCCGCGUCACUCCCGGCCGUCACGCUCGGCGACAUCCCCACCGGCGCCGCCAUCGAGACGCUCCUCUCCGUCGAGGCCCAGCGCUCCGUCCUGGCGCUCACCGAGGUGCUCUCGGGCCUCAGGUCCACGACCAACCUUGUCGCCUUCGUCGCCGACCUCUUCGGUGCCGACACGCUCCGCGCGGCGCGCGACGCCGGCGUGCCCGGGUACCUCUUCUUCCCGUCUAACCUCCUGAUGCUCUCGCUCAUGCUCCACCUCCCGCGCCUCGACGCCGACCUCGCCGCCGGCGAGUUUCGCGACCAGCCCGAGCCCCUCCGCCUCCCCGGCUGCGUGCCCGUCCCCGGCGCCGACCUCCUGCAGCCGCUCCAGGACCGCGCCAGCGACGCGUACCGCUGGAUGGUCCACCAUGGCGAGCGGUACCGCGACGCCGCCGGCAUCCUGGUGAACACCUUCGACGCCGUCGAGCCUGGCGCCGCCGCCGUGCUCCGCCGGCCUGAGCCCUGGCGCCCGCCAGUGUACCCGGUCGGGCCCGUCAUCCGGCAGCACGCCGCGGGCAGCAGCCCCGCCGCCGACACCACCGGCUGCAUGGACUGGCUCGACGCGCAGCCGGAGAGGUCCGUGCUGUUCGUGUCAUUCGGCAGCGGCGGCGCGCUGUCGACGGCGCAGACGGAGGAGCUCGCACGGGGCCUGGAGCUCUCCGGCCACCGGUUCCUUUGGGUGGUUCGGAGCCCCACCGACGGCGGCGGGGCCAACCCCGGCGAGAGCUACUACGACGGCUCCCGGAGCAAGGACGACCCCCUGAGCUUCCUCCCACCCGGGUUCGUGGAGAGGACCAAGGGCCUCGGCCACGUGAUCCCCUCGUGGGCCCCGCAGACCAGGGUCCUCGGCCACCGCGCCACGAGGGCUAUGCUGACGCACUGCGGGUGGAACUCGGUGCUGGAGAGCGUCGCCGCCGGGGUGCCGAUGAUCGCGUGGCCGCUGUACGCCGAGCAGAGGGAGAACACCGUGAUGCUCUGCGAGGAGACCAUGGUGGCGCUGAGGCCUAAGGUUGGGGACGAUGGCUUGGUCCUCGCCGAAGAUGCCGCGGAGGUGGUGAAGGAGAUGAUGGGAGGCGGCGAGAAGGGUGAGGCGGCGUGUGUAAAGGUGAUGGAGCUCAAGGCGGCGGCGAGGAGCGGGCUCGAGCCCGGUGGCGCGUCUUACGAGACACUCGCUGAAGUUGUGAACAAGUGGAAGGCAGCUAGUGAAGCUGAUUAACGCUGAAUGUUCAUUGUGUACAAAAAUCUGAAGCAUGGCGAUUCUUCUCUCUGUCAGAGAAAGAAUUUGCAAGCAAAAUGGUACUCGUGUGUACCUCAGUGCCUGUACUCUUGGUCCAGUCAGCUACACUUUCAUGAUCGUAAUCAUGUCUUGUAAAUUCCUGGCGAUCGAAUGGUUCCCGUGUGUUUUUUGUUAUGAUUUGUCAAGAAACUUGAAGCUUGUGUUCUUUCAUCGUUUCAUGGGAAACUCAGUGCCAUUAGUAUAGUACCUACAGCAGUUCCAUGGUCCACUCCUGCAACGGCUGUGCACAUCGGCGGUUUGCGUACGAUGCUCCGCAGAGUCGUACAAAUCUGGAUUGAUUCCAAUUUGUUUACAUUUUCAAGCCAGCAAAAAACAAUGCAACCCAUCCCCCCCUAUGUUUGAUGUAGUGCCAACAGCCCAACACCAAUUUGUUCCUAGUAGUUUACUAAGCCCUCUCAUGGCAGUUGAGAUGCUCGUGCACCAUCGUGCCGCUUAGACAAUGCGCCCUUCCCCUCGUGAUCACAAGUUCAGCCACUGCAAGUUGGUUUUACGCAACUAUUUUCCGAUGGAACCGAUUGAUUCCCCAGCUGGCUGGCCAGCCAACCAACGCAUGGGGCGUGUCUGCGUAACCAUCAGCAUGGCGCAUAUGAAAAUAAUGUAUGCGGCACUUUACCCAUGGAUAAAAAUAAUCCAACCAUCGAGCGUCGCUUUUUCAAGGGGGAGGAAUCAGCAAGAGGAUAGCACCAAGGUUAUCACAUCCAUCACAUCUAAGAACAUAAUCAAAACCCUGUAACGGCGUUAGAAACAGCAAAUAGGCAGUUGAUUUACGCACAGAAAAGCAAGAGCACAGGACAGGCAUGGUAGCUUAACAAUGAAGGUAAAAUAAUACUCCAGCAGUGUCUCAGCGCCCAGCUAUCCCAGGCUGCGGCACAACUCUACACGCUACAAAAUUUUUCACAAACGUUGCAUAGAAGGAAAAGCUUAGAAAACCAUCCUUAGCCACAAUUCAAAUAGUAGAACUCAUUACCACUCCUCCAGAACAUAGAGAAGUUGGCGAUACUUUUUAACUAAAACAGACUUCUUUAUCCAGCACCUUAGCAGACACCUAGGACACAAUCUAGAGAAGGUCAGCUACGUUGGCGGGCAGCUCCUCGACGGUCACGUUGUAGAACUUCUGGAUGUCAAACAGCAUCCGCUCAUCGUCGCGGGUGACAAAGUUGAUGGCAACACCCUUCCUCCCGAAACGACCACUACGGCCGAUGCGGUGGAGGUAGUUCUCAGGCUGGGUCGGCAGGUCGUAGUUGAUGACCAGGGAGACCUGCUGGACAUCAAUACCACGGGCAAGCAGGUCGGUGGUGAUGAGCACACGGGAGGACCCGGACCUGAACUCCCUCAUGAUGAUGUCCCUGGUGUUCUGGUCCAUGUCACCGUGUGUGGCAGAGACGGUGUGAUCCCUGCUCCUCAUCUUGUCUGUGAGCCAGUCCACCUUGCGGCGUGUGUUCACGAAGAUGACACUCUGGGUGAUGGCCAGGGUCUCGUACAGGUCACAGAGUGUGUCAAGCUUCCAAUCUUCCUUCUCCACAUUGACAUAGAACUGCUUGAUACCCUCAAGGGUGAGCUCAUCUCUCUUCACGAGGAUCCGGACAGGCUUGUUCAUGAACUUGCGGGUAAUCUCAAGGGCCUCGGGGGGCAUGGUAGCAGAGAACACACCAACCUGGAUCUUUGAUGGAAGAAGCUGGAAGAUAUCAUAGAUCUGCAGCAAAUGGCACACAUGUCAGUUCAAAGGACAUGAACAUUUCAAAUCUGGUUUAGGAAGAUUAGACUAAGCACAACCAGGUCAGAAACAUUCUCAGUGCAUAUUACAAUUCUACUAAGCACUGAAAUCAUGUAAAAAUUACAAUCCUACUAAGCUAGUAACAUUUAACUUAAUCAGGCACUGAAUACAAAGUAAAAAAUUACAAGCCUCCUAAACUUAAUCAGAUCAUGCAACUCUAACAAUCAGAUAUGUUUUUGGUCACAUUCCACAUCAAUCGAACUGUCAGCAGACAACUGGAUAAACCACGAGUGCAUGUAACAUAACUAAACAAAAAACACUAAGUAGCAGCAUAACAAGUAUAAAGCAUGAAUGAUCAUAGCACCAAAGUUGUAACAUAAAGAGGAGUAAGAAGCAAACCUGAUCCUUGAAACCACGAGAGAGCAUCUCAUCAGCUUCAUCCAACACAAACAUCUUAAUGUUGUCUGGGCGUAGGGACUGCCUACGCAACAUAUCAAACACACGCCCUGGUGUGCCCACAACAACAUGCACACCACUAGCAAGAAUCCUUUGGUCCUCACGGACAGAUGUCCCACCAACACAGGCAUGCACUUUGACACCCAAGUAGUCCCCAAGAGCACGCAUGACCUUCUCAAUUUGCUGUGCAAGCUCACGGGUUGGAGCAAGAACCAAUGCCUGGCACUCAACCAAUCCAUAAUCAAGCUGCUGCAAAAUUCCAGAACAGAAUGUAGCUGUCUUUCCUGUUCCAGACUGCGCCUGCUGAAUCACAUCAAGCCCCUUGCAGAAGGGAACAAUCCCCCUUUGCUGAAUAGCUGAUGGUUUCUCAAAACCUGCAAAUGAAGUAGCAUGUUUAUAGAGCAGAUCAAAGCUAUAACCAUUGAAUGAAAUUCAGGAAGCAUAGAAUUUUUACAUACCGUAGGCAUAGAUGCCUCUCAGAAGGUUCUCUUGGAGCCCCAUGUUGUCAAAACUUUCACAGACUUCAUCAUACGAGGUAAAGAACUCCUCAGUUCUGGUACAGAAAGUUAACUUUUGUAAAUCCGUGGAACCAAGUUAUGAGAGAAAACAGAGAAGUAAGCUAAAUACAUGUCAAGUGACUGAAUAAACAAAACUGAUGUGAUAUGACUUACAGUAGCUCCUGCAUCUUGUUGUCAUACUGCUUGCCGUCAAACUGGGAACCCUCUGGUGCCAAUCCUGCCAUGGCUGUACAGUAAAGAAUAAAAGGAGGAGGUUAAACCAACAGCAAUAAAAAAUAAAUGCUGGAACAGCCACGCCGAACAGAGAUGAGUACAACACAGGGAAGGUAAGUACAGGAAACACUGGGCCUUAUUUUCUGCACAAGCUUAUCAACAUCAUUAACAGUACAGGGCUAGAAAAACAUCACUAACAGUACAACAACCAAACAUGACUAACAGUGCAACAACCAACCUUUUAUAAGACGAGGUUCACAACAACACGUACGAGACUUUGGCGUACAAACUUGAAGGCGAGACGGGAUUAAAUAUCGUUACUCAGCCACAACAGACGAAAUCUGAUACUAAUAAAGUGCUGCUAACUGUUAAAAUAACAUGCUUACACGACAAUGAAAUCUGCAGGUAAAGCCUAGACACCUCCUGAACCUAAUAAAAUUUUCUACAAACCAAAUCCCUCGCGCCGCGCCUGUCUCAAACCCCUCGCACAGGGUCGGCGAAGGCCACGAAAACCUUUCGCAUCUCCACACCUGGAACACCAACUUUACCUCCGAAUCCGCCCAGAUCCGGCCCCGCCGCCGAUAGACAGACCCGACGAACCACGGGAAACCGAUAGAAACGAACGGCGCGCCCAGAUCGAGCGCCAGCAAACCCCAUCCGAAACAAGCGCGCAGGAGUGAGACGGGAAAGCAGAUCUCGGCGUUACCUGACGAGCGGCGGGGAGGAGAGCGCGACGACGGGCGGCGAGGAGGUGGACGCUGGAGGGCUGGUGCGACGGCGGCGGCUGCGAAUCCGAGAUCGGCGUCUCGGGUUCGAUUCGGCGGUGGCGUUUUGCGUUGGGGGGGAGGAACAGGGACUAGGGGAAGGGAGGGUUUGGGGGGAGGCGGCUUUAUAAGGGGUUCCGACGGAGGCGGGGCGCGGCUCGACUCGUUCCCUUCUUCUCUCCCUCUUCGGCUUCUUCGCGUCGUGUGCGUGUGGGUGGGUGUGGCGGACGCCCACAGCAAAGGCAGUAGGGUUUGGUUGGUGCUCGUGCGGUGGGCUUGGGUCGUUUCGGAGUUGGGCCCGUGCGCGCCGCGUCUGGGCCUUUUAGAGCCUGUUUAGUUACCCUCAAACUUCCAACAUGGAGUACUAAAUGUAGACGAAAUUAAAAACUAAUUGCACAGUUUUGUUGUACUUUGCGAGACGAAUCUUUUGAGCCUAAUUAGUCAAUAUUUGGAUAAUAAUUUACAAAUACAAAGGAAACACUACAGUGUGCUACAGUGCUACAACAGUGAUUUUGCAUCUUAAAGUUGGGCAACUAAGGCCUUAUUUCCUUCCUUUCUCUCUCCGCCCCCACGCCGCCGCCUUCCCUCCCCUCUACGUCGGCGGCGAGUCCCCGUCGCCCGUCGGCGGCCCGAUCGGGGCCUGCGCGUCACCUCACGUCACCGCUUGCGUGUACUCGCGUGUCCAUGACAUGUGGGGCCAGCUGCCAGCAAGAGAGGUUUCCCGUUUCGUUUCCUUCGGAACGAAGGAGCCCGUGUAACGAUGCGAUGCGAGUUCGUGUCGACUCCGUUCACAGCAUGCAUGGAAGUAUGGAACACGCUACGUGACGCGGCUCACGACUUCACGUAUGCGCCACGGGCAGCCGCAAGUUCCGACGCGCACGCACAGCUCCUCGUGCUCCGGCGCGGUGGUCCUCCUCGAGGAAGAAACGGUUCGGCAACUUCUGCAGGGGACCGGGGAAAUUCGCUCACCAAUACCAAAAGUUCAGCUCGGGUUCAGGCUCCAAUUCAGCGUCUCUCGGAUUCCAUGCAUGUUCAAAGAGGGAAGUUGUUUAGGAACCUUUGGGUACGAAACAUGGGGAUUUUAAAAGAGAAACUUCAAAGGAUUUGCCGAUUUGACACAUGCACACGCUCUGAACUCAUCACAAGUGGGAGAGUCGCCAGCUCGCCUCACCUGCACAACGCGGCGCCAUUGAUCACAAGUUCACAAACCUACACAACAGGGCAGCCAUCGCAUUGUGAUAUGGCACUCGCUCCAAGUUACUUUCAGAUCCCGAAGUUCCAAAGGAAUGGGAGAAUCACAUACACACAGAUACAGUGGAUUGACAGUUUGCAUCAGUCGAGCACCCUCCAUUGACGCACUUCUUGAGCGGCACAUUCCCGUUCAUGAUCAGCCCACACUCCACAGAGCACAAAACGAUGAUCAGAAGCAUCCAUACCGGGAACACCCGAGGGGACACGGCGAGCGCGCGGGAAUGGUCGAUGAAGAUGGCGCGGCCACGGGCGGCGGCGGCGGCGGGGGUCGCCUUCCCCGCAGCCAGGUUGACGCGGUACACCUUGCACGUCCUCUUGUAAUCGUCGCCGUACUCGCCGUCGGCGCCGCCACGGACACGGCGCAUCCUCCGGUGCACCAGCAUCAGCUCGCCGCCGUUGUCCACCAGGUGCGCCGUGUCCGUCAUCCUGCGGAUCCUCGCGGCCAGCUUGGCGGCCACCACCAGCCUCGGCGGCGGGUCGUCCUCCCCUCCCAUGGCCGUCGAGUCCACCACCAUGACGGAGUCGGUGGUGACGCCGUAGAAGCGGCCGGCGAAGGACACGGUGGGCAUGAGCGAGCCGGCGGUCUUGAGCAGCGCUCGUCGCCGGCCGGGCUUGGCGAAGGCCAGCGUCGUCCCGUCCGCUAAUCCGUGGCCGUAGAGGAAAACCCAGCGGCCGUCCACGAGGCCGGCCCAGCUUGUGGAGCACUCGCCGACGUGCGCAGGGGAGAAGCCCAGCAGGUCGUCGCCGGUGAUGAGCGGGAGCUCGGCGACCUGGCGCGUGAGUGGGUUGAGCAGGCGGACACCACCCCCGGUGGCGGCCUUGCGGCGGAGCAGGAGGAGGAGGCCGUCUUCGUCGGUGGAUCGGAGCACGCCGUGGUCCCGGAGCUCGGGGACGUCCACCUGGAUGCACUGGCCGGUGGAGACGUUGAGGAACCGGCGGCGGGUCCGGUGGGGGGCGGCGGCGGCGUGGAGCUUCUCCCCCUCGGCGAGGAGCAUGACCCACCCCCGGGGGUGGAGGCGGCUGUCCUCGAGGAGAGCGCGCGCGCGCGGGUCCGCGCAGCACCGCCUCCACGCGCGGCACACGGCACGGAAGCGGAUGUAGUCGACCACGCCGUUGGUGGCGGGGAGGACGCUCUCGGCGAUCAGGCCCGCCGGCCCGUCGUCGAGAUCCGACCAGUCCCUCCUCCUGCCGAGGGCGGUGCGCCAGCGCUUGGCACCCCAGUGUAAGGUGGUGGAGGUGGAGGACGGUCCUGCGCGGCGACGGAGCAAGGGCGCAGGCCGCAGGCGCAGGCGAAGGAGGUUCCAGUAGAUGCUUCUCCUCCUUGUGGGGAUCAUCGUCGGCCGUCUUCCGCGGUUGCUUCCUCCUCCUUCCCGGCGGCCGGCUUGCUGAAGCUAGCUUCGCCAUGGUGGUGGUGGUGGUGGUGCCGUUUAUUUGGCGCGACACGAUCGAACCCGCCGCAGUUCCAGCUUGCUAUACGGGUGCUGGAUUCCGACUCCGAUCCGAUUCCAGUAUGGGACAUUGGGACUGUUAGUCCGAGUAUAGUGCUAACUCCUAAGCGGAUUCACCUUGUACUUAGCGUCCACCUUGUCUGGUCACAAGAAAUUUGACUGUGAGAUGACUGUUGAAAUUUAGCAGGAUUAGCAACCAACGAUUGAUUAUGGCAUACCCAGGUUAGCAAUUUAUCCACCUAUCCUGUAUCCAGGUCAGGACCCCAAAAAUCACACAUGACUUGGAAAGUUAAACCCUCUUUCACUUCAAGAGGCUGCAGCAAGAUUUAAAAAAAUGGAAGGAUAACAGUGCUGAACUCCAGGAUUGCUUGGAUUUAGCAGCUACUGGAGCAGCAUAAAAACACAAAACCUGGCAAACCAUUGCAAAGAGUUUGUUAGCUUCUCCACAACCACAAGCAGAUGCCAAUUUGAUCCAUCAUGGCAAUACCCCCACAAGGAUAUCCAACAUGAACAGCAGGUAUAGUAUGGAGGAACAACAUGUAUAUUCCAAUGAAAGGUUCAGAUAAUACUUUAUGUACAUUCAACUAUGCCAAAAUGCCAUCUGCUCAAGGACUCAUUUGUGCUUUUCUACUUCUGUUCCUAGUUCCUAUGCCUAUAUGCUUCAACCAAGAGCAGGACUUCUGAACUUCUGAAUACAGGAUUACAGAUAAUGUGAUUAGUUGGAUCAGGCACUUGACGCACCGAGGAGACCAAGCGACUAAUGUAGACAUAACGUAUUGCACUAUAUACUAGCAUAUAUUAGCAAACAGAAAGAGGACCUCAAGAUCAGUCUGAUGUACAGAAGGUUACUUCUAUAGACAAAGAAGACUGUAGAACACGAGAGGUAUGAAAGCAUUGUCGAGCUGUGCUGUAUAUGCCUCCAAUAAUCCGCUCAAUGUUACAGCUAUCAAAAGCGAUAACCAAUUCUGUGUCAGCAGGAAAAGAUGGUCAGUAAGAUUUUGUGCUUGCUUUGUUGGUUUUACUUUCAGUAGCUUAAAAGAAGGAAUGAGGUCGAACCUGCGAAAGAAUGUACCCGCUGGAAGCUAAGAGUGACACCAGAAUAGAGCAGGCUGCUAGCACAGAAGUUAUGCCUGCUGCUGUGCCUUCAAUUGUUUUCUCUAAUAUUUCAGAAAAGACAAAAGCAUAAGAGUUCAGAGAACAAAGAGUGGAAGGGCCAAAAAGAGAACAAAGUAAGGAACUAAACUCACUUCCUGUCUUGCUCCAUCUUAACACGCCAUACUUGUACCCUAUCAUUGAUGCCUAGAAAAGGAAAGGAGAUAAUUUAUAAUAUGGAUCAAAGAAGAUAAUUAACGGAUCACAAACAUUGGACACAGAACUUACCAUGGUAUCGCCUAUCCCCAAGCUGAGAAUUCCAGCGAAAGGGGCAAGCGGUCGGUCAUUUAAUCCAGAUGACAUCCAUUUAGGAAGUGCACAGCCCAGUAAGAGUGAAAAAUGGCUGAAAACACAAAUAAUAUUAGGUUUAUCAUACCGCAGGACAUGAAAAAAAAAGGGUGAAAUACGAAAUGAGGGAACUGAAGCCUACUAAAGCACACCUACCUAACAAUAAGAAUCUCAGAAUCACGAUGAUCAGUGAAGGCGUUCAUAAACUGAUGCACAACACGCCCAAGAGGGUAUAUUUCCCAAAUCUGAGGCAUGGUUAAACAUUUUGCAGGCCAAAGAGCAAAGGUUACUCAAAUUAAAAGAAAAUAAGUAAAAAGAACUUGGGAAGACAAAACAAAAGGUUCCUUACUCGUAUCAUCUCCAAUAUUAAGAAAACUGCAAAUGCUGCACCAAAUGCCAAGUCCAAGAAAGCAGGCUGCAAAACAUGAACAUUUUUCCAGCGCAAACUACUGAAUAUUCUGAUGGACAUUGAACUUUGUUUUAGCACAGAUGGAAAUUGAACUGAAAAAAAUGCACAAAUCACCUGAAAUAUAACUGCAGGAGAGAAAAUCAGAACAGCGACAAGAUGAUAAUACUUGCGCAAAAGAAUCCUCUCUGUUUUGCUCUGCUUUGAUAUGCUGUAGAACCUUCUAACUGAUACACAUAUCACACAUAUCCAGUAUGCACAUAAAGCAAGUCGUUCAUGUGAAUCAGUGAACAUGUAGUUAAUAAUCCUGUGAAAUAAUGAAUCAUUUAGCAAACAUAAGUCAACAUAUUAAAAGAGUUUACGAGCAAUAAGAUCUCACAAAAUGUAAAUCCAUCCAAAAAGUGUUGUCCAACUACCCUAUUUCACAUAUAUCAAGGAGUCAUAAACUCGAAGCAAUAGAUAUAUCACGAAAAACAGUGUAACUAACUUUGCUGUCGAUUCCAAGACAAGGUAUUUUGAAACAAGAAAUCCCAAUAACCAAACAAUAUUUAAACACAAAGGAACAUUUAAGGGUGUCAAAUUAAAUGGCAUGUACGAUUAAGAAGGUCGUGUUGUUUGUGUGCAUGCUUUUCAGGCUCUCUUCGGAAAAGGUGAACUGCAAUGCUUACCAAACAAAAGGAUGCACUUUAAGACCUUGAACAAGGUGUGUCCAUGAUGGUACUAAAAACAUUAACACCACCACCAACAAGGUAUAGAAUACAGCAGAACCAAUUCUUUUUUGUGUAUGUUCCACAGCUGCUUCUGUCCGUUGCUUCCCCUUACAGUAAUCCCAAAACUGAAGAGAACUUUUGUAUAGCAAUGGAAGUAGAAAAAGGCCCAGUAAAAUCCCCUGUCAAGAGAAAAGGAGAAUAAAGUUAUCCCAAAAAAAAGAAAAAUAAAAAGAGAGUAAAGAUAAAUAUGCUAUGACACCGAUGCCAGACAAAAGCAACUCUACCUGAAUAAUUGUGGUCAUAUCGCUUCUAGUUCCAGGUGUGUGAAUGAAUGCUUUUGAUGACAUGGAAAAAUCCAUCUGUCAUCCCAAAUGCAAGACAAAAUAAUAAGUAAAUAAAUAAGCAAAUCAGCUUUGCCACCAUUUUGCUUGUAGAAUAAAUCACACCUUUGAAAGUGUAUGGGCCAACAUAUCACCAAAGUAAAGAACAAGACCACUGGACACCAGAAGCGCCUCCCCUGAAAUAUGCAACAGUUUAAACAAUGAGGGGGAAAGAAAGGAGAAAUCUCCAAGUCAAGGUAAUUGAGCAAUAUGCUGAUAGAUUACAGAAACUAAAAAGAAUCACACAAGGUAACAGAACUUGCAUAAACUAUAAGAUAUAUAAAGGUUUAUAAAAUUUCUUGUAGCGUAUGAAACCAGACAUGACAAAAAAGAAGAGUAAAAAAAGAUCUAAUUACAUCUUAGACUUCAAGUACAAACCAAAAGAUGAACAUGAAGGAAACUUCUCUAGAAUAUGCUUGAUUAAGAUCACAGCAGCCACUCCAUGGCAGAGCAUAUACACCAUAUUGGUCAUUACCAUCAGACCUACAACAAAUUACAUAUAGGUGAUUUUGACAACUUCCUUGGGUAUGAUAGACCUAAAUUACAUUUAAAUGCAUAUUAAACACGCAUGUUACCUCCAUCAGUCUUCAGUAGAAAGGACAAGAAGUAUGUCACGAGAUAUAAAGCUACCAACAAUGGACCGUAUUUCAAAUGUUUAGAAACUCCAUUGCUGGGAGACUGCCGUAGAUGCCAAAGGAAGAAAGCCAGCACACCGAGACAGCUGAUUGAUGCCGCCCAGUACUGCAUUUCAAGGUAUGCAAAUUCUGGCAAUGGAAAUAGGAUUUGUAAUUAGUAAACUGUGUGCAUCACAUAAGAAACUAACCAACAAUGAAACAGACAACAAAUGCACUUUACAAACACUUUGAAUCAUGAAUUUAAAUGUAGAAUUCAGGAAAAUCGAAUUUAAUAGCCAACACGAUCAAGAUAACAGAACAGAAAUAUACCUUCAGGUCCAUUAGGAUCAGCUGGUAAGAGCCUUGACCGCUGGAUUAAUCGAGAAAGCAUGACACUCGGCAGAGUAGUGGCACCAAGAAGUAUGCCUGAUGAAGCACCUGGCCUGGAGCACACAAUAAAGCACUGUCAUUAUAAUUUCCUUACUAUGGGUCUUGGUAGAAGCACACAUAAACAGUAGAAACUAGGUAGGUCACACAGAACACAGAAGGCGAACUAAUAGUUGAGCAACUACAGACAGUGUAGCCUCAAAAGAGCAUGGAAGUCAGCUUGGAAAUCACCGAAUCCUAGUUAAUCUGAAGAAAGUCACUAAGAGCAUCUCCAGCAGUCUCCCUUUCCCCAAUCCAACUAUCAUAUUGGAAGAGUUGAUAAGAAAAUAGUGCUCCAGCAGUCUCCCUUUAACUUUCCUUUUUCCCAAUAAUUAUUGGGAUAACCCAAAAAUUCACCCCAACUCUCGCUAAAUAAAGGAGUUGUGAGGGUAGUUGGAUUGGGAUGAGAUUAUUGGGAGACUGCAAAACCUAAUCUCCCAAUAACGGUGAAAGUGAUAUUGGGAUAUCCCUAUUAACUAGUUAUUGGGAAACAUUUAUUGGGAGACUGCUAGAGAUACUCCAAUCUGACCUUACCACUCCUGUCAGCCAAACAAGGCACGGGCUUACCUCAUGUCUGCAUUUCCAUUGCAUGUUAAAUCCAACAAUCCAACUGAAUAAGGGAGUCAGCUCUUACAUAUCCAACUGAAUCCCCAGUGCAUCUGCUAAUUCCCUAAUUAUUCCCCAAUUGCGCAUGCAUUGCAUCCCACACAUGGAAGCAACCAUUCGCAUAAAUUGGCCUCAGGUUUCCCAGCUCCACCAGGAGCUUUGCAGGGUACAGCACCACCAUCCACUAAAACGUAGCUCCUACGCACCUAGUUCGCUGGACGGGGGAACCUAAACCGAGCAUGUCCCCAAUUCACACCGCGGGAUACCACCCGCUGACCCGCAGCAAACCAAAUCGCGGAGACUUUUCAGUCUAAUUGAACGGGGGGAGAUAGCACGGAACGAGAGAGGGGGGGGGGGGGGUAAAGCAUCCGCGCACCUGGUCCUGAAGCGGCGGAGCGGGGAGGCGGAGCCAUCCACGGCGAGCUCGACGGCGAGGGCGGCGGCGGCGAGGACCGCGAGCGGCGCGGCGAGGAGGGCCGGGGCCGCGAACGCGACGCGAGCGGCGAAGAGGAAGACCACGAGGCGCUCGCCGGUGAGCAGCGCCGGCGACGGGGACGCGGCGGCGAGCGCGAACCCGGCGGCCAUCGGCUUUGGUCGGCCCCGUUACGCUAACGCGGCGGGCGGGUUUGGUCCGGUCCGGUCUGGUGCGGCGUCCGUCUUGGGUUGUGGGUGGUCGUGGCGGUUGGGCGCGGUCAAAGUUGGUGACCAACUGAUCAUCCUGUGACGCGUUCGGUCAAAGUUGGUGACCGAUGAGUUUUUCACCUAGUUGUAUUUUUCGGGGACUACAGGGACCUGUUGGAGCAUCCGUUCUAGUAUUUUUUUUCCCUUAUUAACAUUUGGGGCAUGGAGUACUCUAGUAAUUGUGAAUAUUCUUUGUUGAUAGAACUGCAAUUUUUUGUUUUUUGUUUUGGCGAAGAGAACUGAUUUUUUUUUGUUUGAAACCACCGCAUCCUAAUUAAUUCUAAUCUCAUCCUGAAUUUUGUGCCGAACCAAUCGUAACCCCUCCGUUCUAACAUGUUUUAUUUGAUCCUGUAGAUGUUCAAUUCAUCUGGGGUAUGCAAAAAGAUGUUUUCAAAUUUGCAGUGACUAAUCGUUGAGGUAGAAACCAGCAAAUCGGCAGCAAUACGGUGACUAAGGGUCGUUUGGAUCAUUGAGCUAAACUAAUCUUCGAAUACUAAUUAGGAGGACUAAACAUGAGCUAAUUAUAAAACUAAUUACACAAAUGGAGGCUAAUUCGCGAGACGAGUUUAUUAAGCCUAAUUAAUUCAUGAUUAACACAUAUUUACUGUAACAUCACAUUAUUAAAUUAUGGACUAAUUAUGCUUAAUAGAUUCGUCUUGCAAAUUAACUUCUCAAUUGGUUGAUUUUAUAAUUAAUCAAUAUUUAAUACUCGUAAUUAGUAUUUAAACAUUUGAUAUGACAAGAACCAAAUUUUAGUUCGUGCAAAUGGAACCUUAGCCACGCGCAAACUUUAAUUAGUGGAAUCAAACGGGAACCUUAGCCACGCGCACGUAGAUCUAGAUGGAGGUACGGAACGGAAAGCAGCGUUGAGAAUAGUGCCGCACGCGUUGCGUGGCGUGUCGCCAACGAUAAAACUCUGAACAACAAACCAAGGACGCACCGCCGAACUGAUUCCCUUCCCGUCGGCAGGAAAGCAUAUUCCAGAACAUGAUAUCUCACUCGGAUUUUUAUUACAUCACCGCCAAAUUGGAACGUCCAUGGACAAAAAGUUUCUAGCGAAAUGUUCAAUACUUAAGCCAUCUAGUCAUGCUGUAAAGCCUUUUUAACAAUUAUUAUGUAAGCCCACUUACAUCAAUGAGCAGUGCAUCAAGCGAAGGGUCAAAGUUUAGAUGAUUCGACUCUCGCAAACAGAAUGUUAUCGAGCAAGUUCAGGGGGUGUUUGGAAGUUAGCCCCUAUAAUAUCGAAUGUUUGACACUAAUUAGAAGUAUUAAACAUAGGUUAAUUAUAAAACUAAUUUCACAAGUUAAAUCACGAGAAGAAUCUAUUAAGUCUAAUUAGUCCAUGAUUUGAUAAUGUGAUGCUAACGUAACCAUUCGAUAAUGAUAGAUUAAUUAGACUUAAUAGAUUCAUCUCACGAUUUAGCCUAGAUGUUCUACUAUUAGUUUUGUAAUUAGCUCAUAUUUAAUCCUCCUAAUUAGCAUCCGAACAUCUGAUAUGAUAGGACUAAAGUUUAGCCUAUGAUAUCCAACCCCUUACGUGACAUGCACACAAGUGAGAUACUCAUUGCCCAGUUGCUUUUGCCCUUUUGCCCUGUAGCAACCAAAAUACCAAAGCUCUCAUUGGAUCACUGAUCAUGGCAUGAUACAUGAGCAGGAACCAUACGCGCCAAGCAACUUCUCCAGUUGUAAUAGAUAGACAUGUACCAGACAUCUCAUGUUCUCCAAAAAUACAGCGAGGAAACAAAAACACGAAGGAGCUCGCAUUCUACAGGGUUCACAGCACAUUACUAAGUAUAUAACACAAUCCUUUAAUAUUCAUAACAAGACGACAGCAUACUAGCAUUGUCAUUUCUCCUUCAAAACAUAGGAUCUUAUGUAUAAGCUUAACAUGCCGCAGGGAUAAAACAUCGUGCCGGUGACUGGUCCUAAACCCGGUGCAACUCUUCAGAAGCUUCAACCCAAAGUAGCCUGAAAACAAAGCAAUUCCCAAAUGGUCAGUAGACAGAUUGUAUCAGCAAUUUAUUUAGCACUAAACUACAGUAAAACCAGGAAAAAUAAUUCCUAAACAUUGCAACCCCCUUCAGAAGGAACAAUCCUGCAAAUACAAAAAAAGAUGCAACUUCAAUAACAUGCAUCACAAGAGGUACACCAAGUAAUUUAAGUACAAGCUCUAACUCAAAUACCACCCACAGUUCAAGCUUCAUAUGCAUAUGGAUGACGACACAUGGACAUGUACAUCCAGCC
rnacentral:lncRNA from 1 species